rnacentral:lncRNA from 1 species
UUCGAAUUUUGCUGAAACAUAGUUGAACUUACAAUUUAGAGUGGGGUACAUACACAGUCACAAACACCCAGUAAUAAUAUAUAUAAGAAAUAAGGUACAGACAGCUCGAUUUUGGCCCCAGGAAUUACCAAUCGAACACCCUUGUCAAUGUUUCCCAAACUCUUCUCCUUAUAAGGCAGACGGCUCCCUUCAAAGAGAAGUGCUCGAAUCCCUCCUGCUAUCUCAACUUCCGUCGGGAACAGGAAACGUAGGAGGGAGCAAAGAAAAAGCCAUCUACUAUUCUUACCUCGACGGAGGCAGCAGCGACAGCUCUCAGGCUUAGCCUCGUCGCGCUGAUGGCCCUCGUCAUGGCGUGUUCGUUCGUCGAGAAGGCCCCCGUCACCGAGGUUCCGGCACCCAGCCCCACCUCCGAGGCCUUCGUGACCACUUCCGCCGCCGAAGGAUUACCUCUUCCUCUGAGGACGCCAUCCUCGCCCGGUUGAGUUCUACUUUACGUAUGUGCGUGCGGUGAUUACGUGUGUGAUUGGCCAUGCAAGUGACGGGUCUGCGUCUUAUCAAGCUGAUGAACUUUGGUCCAUUCCGAAGACAACGAGACCACCGUGGCCGGCUUGUAUUUAUGCACUGCAUGCAAUGACGGAGGAGAGCAAUGGGUGGACGGGCAUCACGCAUGGUGUCCGCUACAUCCUAGCUGUUCACGUGGAUUCUUGGACGUGGAAGGGUCCCAUCAAUUAUGUACGGCGUUUGGCUUCCCAUUUCCUAUGGCCCCCAUCGGCUUCCCGGUGCCACCCUGUAAAGUGUGCCUCCACCGAACCAAAUUAGUUAAGAUUAACCUAUGUUGAGUUAGAUAUACAAAGCUUUUAAUAGAAAAUUCUAGAAGCCAAAUUUGUCAUUGGAAGUGACAAACGCAAUCGGAUUCGCUUCCAAUCUACUCCGUUGACUCAGUAAAAGAUGUUACAGGAAGUCACUCAGCAUCCUCACAACUUGAUUCGCUUUGGGCCGCUCCUCCGGGCACUCUGCAGUGCACAUCAUUCCGAUCUUUACCAUUCCCAUCACCUCCCCUUCGCUUUCAGCGUCAUCGAUCUCUUUGUCUGUGACCACUUCCAAUAGCACCAUCCCAAAGCUAUAGACGUCCGAUUCCUGGGUAGGUUGCUCCUUGCCGUUCACUAGCUCAGGCGCCCUGUACCCGAGCCUGGUCGUCGUCCCCGCCGCGAACAUUGCUCCGUCAGAGAGACAACCUGAGGGAUAGUGCGGCAUAGCUUGGUGGAAGUUGGACGCGAAUCGCAUUAUGCCCCAUUCAGCUAUGCAUGCGUUGCCCUGCUCGUCGAUGAGAAUAUUUGAUGGCUUGAUGUUGGCGUGAACCAGAGGGGAUCGCGCUGGGAAGGCAUGGAUGAAGGCGAUGCCUUCCGCCGCUCCCAUUAGUAUCUGCUUCCUGCUAAUCCAGUCCAAUGUUCUUCCGCUUCCUUCACCUGCACAAGAAAGACAGCCGUCGAAUGAUCGUGCGAUUGUCUGCUGACUUUUGCUGUUCUAAGGAACUUACUGUUGCUCUGCAAGAGGGAGAGAAGGCUUCCGUUGGGCAUGAAGUCGUAGACGAGAAGCUUCUCCUCGUGGGCGUUACAGUAUGCUCUCAGGCUCACGACACGGGGAUGUCUCACUCUCCCGAUGAGAUGCAUCUGCCGGUCGAAGGCCUUGCAAUGGGACGGGAACUGCACGGCGCUGAGCCGCUUGACGGCGACGAUUAUGCCGUCCUCGAGCACUGCCCUGUAGGUGCUCCCGGAAAGUCCUUUGCCCAGUACCUCAGCAGAAGACUUCAAGAGGCAGUCCAACCUGAGAUCUUCUCCUCCUUCAAAGCAAAUCAGGCUUCUGUCCUUUUCCUUCUCUUCACGUUGCAGUUGAUCAGGCUCGAGCUCCCGAAUGCUUGCAGCGGCGCCGUUCAGAGACGUUAUGAGCUUCUUCCUCAACCAAAGGUACAUUCCGACGAUGACGACCAAGCCGAUCGCAAUCACCAGCAGGUCGCUUAUACCAAUGGCUAAGAGGGCAGUGAAACCAACUUUUGUGGAAGAUCUAGGGCUUGAGGAGUCAGUGGCAGACUGUAAAGAAGCUGGAGAAGGGCUGACGGCGGUGGUGUCAUCUGAAAGGCGAGAAACCUCACCGCAGCCAGGAAGAGGUGAGCCGCAAAGGCCUUGGUUCCCUUCGAAAGCCGAAGCUGGGAACUUCGACAGGAGAUCAGUGACCUGCCCAGACAGCUGGUUGCUGGAUACGUUGAAGUCACUAACAUUUGGCAGCCGCAACCCCUCAACCCCACCGGAGAAUUGGUUGUGUUCGACCCUCAGGGAAACUAAGGAAGGCAGCGACACGUUCAGAGUCCCACGUAGUUUAUUGUGGGAGAGGGAGAGACGCCGUAGUCUCGGAUUGUUCAGGGUGGUCAGAUGAGGCAGCGAGCCGGUGAGAUUGUUCCUUCUGAGGCUGAGGACGCGAAGGCGCGUGAGGCCGAACAGAGGCGUCACGCUCCCCGUAAGGGAUGCGUGGUCGAGGCGGAGGCCGACGACCCUGCUUCGGUAGCACGUCACGCCAAUCCACGAGCCAGAGCAUGGAUCGUGACCCUCCCAGCUACGCAAGACGGCGUUGCAGGGGUCCGCGGACGCCUUGAAAUAGAGAAGGAGAUGAGCAUCACGUCCCCUGAGUGCAUGUUCAUGCGCAGUAGUUACAAUUAGGAAGAAGAAGAAGACGAGGAUGAAGUACAUGUUGUGGGACGGCAUUGCUAAGCCGAAGCAUGUGAUACGGUUCAUUUUAUAGAAUGAGCUUCUUAUAGGCAGGCAGCGUUGGUCAAGGGAAGAAGAAAGAGAGAGAGAGAGAGGGAGGCGGGAGGGUUGCAGAUUUGAAAAGGAAUGAUAGGAUUAAAUGGAAUGGACAUGGAGAAGGUUCCAAAUGGGAAGGGUUGUGCGGUCAGUCACUUCGAUGGGUGGGAAAGUCGAAGAGCGGCGACCGAGGCAAAGUUGACUAACGAGCAACGAACGUUUGGGUGCGUUUGCAAGCGAGUAGGGGAAUUGACGUUUCCUAAAUAUGCUUCUUUGUUCCGAGGAACAAAACAGGUCGCCGUGGUAAGACAUCUUUGUUCCUACUGCGCUUGGAUUUGUCUGCCGGGAGUGAUCGAUCGGUUUCUUGCGACGCCGCUGAUGUGUGAUGACCGCAGUUAGAUGGCACUCGCUCAUGUGCUCAUCGGAUGUCAUAUGUCGUGUCUCGGUGAUCAGAUGAAUCCAUGUCCAUAACAUUUUAUUUUUUGUACACAUGGUGAACAUUUUAUGUGGGAUGAUUAAGUUAUUACUUAUAAAUUUAAUAAAAAAAUAUAAAGAUAAAAUAUAUGAUGAUUUAAAAAAAAAUAUUAUUUUUUGGGUUUUUUUCUAGAAGGUAUUCCGUUUUUUACUUUUACACUUGGUAUAUCUUUUUUCCUUUUAAUAUCUUAAAUAUAUUUCGACGUCGCUUAGUCAUCUCCCUCUAAUAUCUUUAAUGUCCUUUAUUAUUGUUUAUCGCUUUCAUUGCCUUUACCUUGUUGUUUCUGUCCUAAUGUGAGUCUUCGUUGCCUUAGCAUGAUUUUGUAUCGUCUUCACCUCACUUUCUCUUUUUUUUUCUUUAUGCUUACACUCUUUUUUUUUUUUUCUCCAUCCAACGAUCGUUCACAUAGAGACAACGACGUCUUGCGAAGGGAAAUGAGACUUUCAUGAUAAGUGGAGGCGAUUGAACGAAAGCAAUGAGUAACAAACAAUGAUAAGGAUAUUUAUAAUAUUUAAAAAAUAUCAAAUAAAACAAAUAAAAACUAGGGAACCAACGUGAUAUUUUUCAAAAAAAUUCACCCAUAUAUAUGUAUAUAAUUAUUCUUUAUUUUAUAAAAAAUAUAUAUAUUAUAUAAUAAUCCAUAGAAUUUUGUAUAUAAUAUUUUUAAUUUUUAAUCAUGGUUAUUAGAAAAAAAAAUACAUUCACUAAUUAAAUUAAUAUUAUGUAUAUUUAUCAAAGUGUAGUAACUAGUAUUUACAAAUAUAAAAAGUCUUUAUAGUGAGCUUUAAUAUUUUAGCCUUAAGUUACUAUCAAUAUUGAUCCUUGCGAAGCCCAUUUCAAGAGUCUUUUUCAGUAUCAAUCUUUCUACAACAGAGAGAUCCUCAUCGGUUUGGCGACACACCGGAAUGCGUUUAGGACUUGAGCUUGAUGUUGAUCUCUGUUGGCGCAAGACGGGUUGGCCAUUUGUUGGUGACCACAACAAGAGAAGAUAACAAUACUCUUUUAAAACGAACAAAAAAUAUUUAUCAUGAGAUAAAAACGUAAUAAGAAAACAUAUUAUUAUUGUUGUAAUAUAGAACUCACCUACUGAAUAAGAUCAAUGUAGAAGAUCCCAAAUGAUUGGGACAUUUACCUAAGCAUAUAUAUAUAUAUAUUAUUAAUUUACGAUGAUUAUGUUAUCAAAGAAUUUUAUCAUAUCCUAGAGUUAUUUUUUUUUCUCUCUCUCACGAAUUAUAAUGCAUUGGAUAUAAGGUUUUCUAAAUUCAUGGAUUUAAAUAAAAUUAUGACUUUGUAAUAAUAAAAAUAUAAAGAUUUCAUUAUUUUUUGUAUUCCUUCUUUGCUUUGCUUUUAUCCUUUUUCUUUUUCAUAUUCGUAUUUCUUCAAUCUAUGCAUUUUUUAAUUGUUUAUUUUUUUUUACAUGUCGGAUUAUACCGGAAAUUGAUUAUUUCUAAAUAUUGGUGUGAGAUUACACCCGUCCGGCCUAUAACAAAAGCGACCACACCGGCGUGAACGGAGAGUUUAGGGCGAGGCGAGGGUUUUUGGCAGGCCGCGAUGCAGACUGCAAGGAGACGAUUCUUGCGGACCCUCCUCUUCGGCCGCUUCCCUCCUCCACCAUCGCCUGCCUCUUCCUCGAUAGCAACCCUCGUUCGCGGAUCGUUGGACAGAUCGCUGCCUUGCGCCACCCUCGCGGCACCGUGGUCCGCAUUCCAAAGCCGAGGCGCUAAAGUGCUGGGCACCGAUGUAAUCGUCUUUUUACCCUAUAUCUGAUCUUUCUGGAUUCUUUCUUAGAUAUAUGUGACUGAUGAUUUUGGCGCUCUGGAUCGUUGUGAUCGUUAGUCUUUGGAUGAUAAAUUUCGUGUGGAAGUACAAUUUCAGUUUGAUAUUGUUGUAAACUUGGCACAAAAUUUGUGUCGACUUCGAGACGGUCGUGGUGACGCAGGGGAAGGGAGACAAUGGUGAAGAAGAGGCAGCGGCACAUGAGGAUGAGGAGGAAGAGAAGGAGAGUACUGAUCAGUAGGGCUUGGAGGCGAUGAAUGUGGGCAACGUCGGACAGAAGUGACGGGAGACACAGACAACGACAGACAGAUUUUGGCGACGGCGGAUGCAAUAGCAUGAGAAAAAGCACACAGGAUGGUUUAGGUGUCAGGGUUUUUAAGAUUCUUAAUUUUAGAAUUAAAAAAUAAAAAAGAAACCAGAUUGGGUUUAUCAGGUUGCAAUCCCUGUAUUACAUAUGGACCAUCCGAAAUUGGAUGGUCUGCGUGCCGAGUCACACCUGUUCCGGUAAAUAUCGGACCAUAGUACCAAACGUGGUGAAAUUGGAUUCCUUGGUUUGCAGAAGAUAAAUAUCAGAAUGACAUUUGCAGGAUACCCCACCAUGCUAGUACAUGGUAUCCAUCUCAUUUUUUGUAUCUUGCUGCACCUAAGUGGUGUUAGCUAUAGCAUCUUCUUCGUCACCAUCUCUGUUUCCAAGCUUGGCACCAUGUACAUUGUUUUCAUGGCUUUGAUGAAUACAUAAGGUUCUAUUUCCUAUAAAUAUCCAAUUUUCAACUCUGGGAGCUGCUUGAAUCGUGUUGUUUAGCAGCCCCCAAGCCAGAUCGAUUGCAUGAAAUUAACCCUCUAAUCGGUGUUGAAAUUGCAUACUUCCAAAUAAGUUUGUAGCUCUGCUGUUUCUGUGUAGGUCCGAAAAUCAAGACAGAUGGAUUGUCUAAAACUGUGUUGAUGUUCUGCUUGCUAAUGGAAAUGCAUAAAUUAGAUGAGUUCAUAGUUGAUCUAUAUUUUUGAAGUCUGAGAGUCUGUGUGGCUUUUGAUUUCAAAGUGCUUAACUCUUUAUUCUGCAAAAUCAUCUUUAUUGUAGUAGUGAAAGAUAAAGCUAUUAGCAAUUGAUUUUGUAAUAUAAUAACAAUCUUUUGGAUGAAAAAGUGCUUUUGUUUAAGUCUUCUGUAAAGAUUCUAAAGAAGCAAAAUGGCUUGUCCUACCAUUAGUUACCACUCUGAAAUGUGUUAUUGAUAUUGUGUGUAGGUGAGGAUUGGGAAUGUUAUACAAAGAAAAGGUUGCAUUUUCAUUCACAUCUUCUGUCACUUCAGAUUUUCGUAUUAAUGAACUUGCUAAUAAGCAUUGACUCAUUUGUUUCACUUCAUCACAAAGGCCGUAUGUAUCAGGUAUGUUACUGAUAAAUUGUUGUGCUCAUCCAGUUGAGGAUUUAUACUUUUUUUUCUCUCUUUUGCAUUUGAUCGAGGUCUUUACUUUUGCUUUUUUUCAUCAUAGGUACUAAAAGCACAACAUACACAACACGGAAGGGGAGGAGCCACAAUACAGGUACAAAGAAACUGUCCAUUCAGUCCUUGACAAUAUCGAUUCACGUUUGCAUUGAUUUUAUGAAACUAUGGUCAGUCACUAUUGUAUGGAAUUGUGUAGUAUCCAAUUAUUGACAUUGCUAACCGACCCAAAGCAAUUUGAUUAUAAUUCAAUUUGUGAAUUAUCCUUGACACCACAUUGAAGUUACUCCUCUAUGUCUUGGGUGCUAAGGUGAUAUAUGGAACAACUUGGAACAAUUUCGCCACAUGUUUUACUGGGGGUUUGCGUGGAGGGGUUGGGGUGUUGCAUACAUAUGAUGGUUAUUACAAUUUGCUUGCGUUGCAGCCAGCAGGAACUUUGUUCAUUGGACUGCAUUUUCUUUUUUACAUUGAACAUUUUGUAUUAAUCUUGUUAUUUCAGCUGUUUCCUUAAUAGAUUAACCUAUGAAUGAGUUCUAUUGCCUUGCUGCUGAAAUAAUUUCUCUGAUGGAUUGCACUUUAUCUGAUGUCUACACUCUCCUGUUACUUGGUAUCCUGAGAUACUUCAUUGGCCAAAACAUUGUUUUUCUGUAAGCUCAUAACCUUAUCAAGAAUAAUGUCAUUUAUCAUAUAUGUUUAAAGUUAAUGCUGCAUAUAUUUUAGAUUCUCAUAUGAGAUCAUUUUUGUCUACAUCAAUAUCAGAUUUUACCUGUUUUGAGUUUACUGAUGUUUUUAUGAUGACUAGUAUGAUUUCCUAUAUAUCACAUAUGUGGAUAGUUUCUGACAUAUGAAUUCAACAGUAUGAGGAUUAAUAUGACUGGGUGUCUUAUAGAUAUAUCAUAUAUUCUACAAACCUAUAUGUUGAUGCUUUUAAAUAAAUUUGGUGGAGAUCUUAUUGGAUUUCUUGUACAGACAAAAAAAGGAAAUUCUGAAGAGGUGGAAAUGGUCAGUAGGUUUAUAUAGGAUUCCACCGAUUCAGUUUCUUCCUAGAGUUCUGAUAUGGAAAUGCGAUUAUCACAGUUAUUUUGUUUAAAUCAGCAGUUUACUUUUUUGGGUAGUGCUUAAUAAUCAGAAGAAGUAUCUUUUGGUAAAUUUUAAAUCUGUACCAUGACACAGGAUCAGCCUUUUAUUGUAUAGGUUGUUUCCUGCUUCUCGGUACUAGUUUCAGGGUCCAAUCCUAAAUACUCGAAGCAUUUGACUUAAUUUGCGGAAAUGAUUGUAUCAUUUAUAUAUCAAAAGAAGAAAUAUUUGGAAAGAAAAGCUUCUGGUACUUAUAAUUAAAGAAGAAAUAUUUGGACAGAAAAGCUUCUGUUACUUAUGAUUUCAUAAACUUUAGCAUGAUCACCUUUGUCUUAAUAUAUAAACUCAAUGUAGUUUGUGAUGAAAAUGUGAGUUAUUUUCUUGAGUUGAUACAAGUCAUGGCACUCUUUUCUGUCGGACAGGUGGAACUUCGAGAUGUUGAUACUGGGAACAAAAUAACUGAAAGAUUUCGCACUGAUGAAGCUCUUGAGAGUAUGUAAUUAGUUUUUUAUACUUGCCAAUUAGAUUUUUUUUUUUGGUGGAGCUAUUUUUCGAUUGUAUGGUAAGUGGUAACAUCAAAAGAUCUAAAGUUGCACCUUGCAUGUUGGGAAUGCUGUGUUCUAAUAGUACAAAUGUCCCUUGCUUGCACUGGCAACCCUUGUGAGUAGAAUUCACAUGGGUGCUGAUGGGGAUCAACUCUGGCCAUCUAGUUGAUGCUUGAUUAAGGUAAUGACAUGGUUUGAAUUCUGCUAAUUAAGUGCCAUAUCAGACUCAUGCCAGUGAAGCUAAAUAAGAACUAGAGGAAUUGAAUGCUAAGGUUGACAGCUCUUCAUUUUUCUCUGUCCAAGCAUCGAGGAUGAUAUCAGGCAAGCUCCAUAUUGUGGCACUUGAUUGCAAAAUCAACCCUACUGGGAAUGGGUUUGGUGGGUUCUCCCCAAUUCUUAAGUCAAAAAUUAAGUAGUUAAAAUUUGAAGAUAGCACGUAGUCUUUUGGCUGAUUCCAUUUAAAAGAGAGCCUAUUACUUGAAAAGUCCCCUCUCACAGAGGAGGUUAGCCCUAUAAGGGAUUGGUUGCCAGUAUAGGCUGGAUAUCAGAUAUAUGACAGUACAACCUAGGUGACAACAGAUUUUUAUUGUUGCCUUAGGUCACAUGCCUAACAAGUAUUCACAUAUGUCAUAUAUUGACUUAUGCCUCAUGGAUCUUUCUGCAAGCGAACUUCAUGUUAAUUCAAUUCUCAAGUUGAUGAUUGUGUUGGAUGUGGAUCCCCCUAUUCUAGUAUUCCUUAUGACGAAGGACAAAAUGGGGUAUGAUUGGAAAUCACAAUCUGCUUAAAUUUCUCCCAGUCGAGAAGGACCAUGCUUGCAUGACCAAAGUUGAACUGUUAUUUGCAUACCACCAUAUUGUUAGGGAUGUUAAUGGGGGGGACCUUCAUUGUCUCUUCUUAAAAGGCCCUUACGAGUUCACAUCUCUAUUCUUUUUGCUCUCCUUGUUCCGAUACUUUCUUCACCUAGGUUUUUUCUUCUCUUUGGUGCUUUUAUUCUGAUUCUCUUGGUCUCUGGGUACCAACUUCUUUUUAUGCAGGAACUGAUGUUUCUUAAUCUGUCUAUUACUAAGUAGUAAGUACAUUAUAGAGUCAUGCCUGCCCUUUUUGUGUAAUGCAGGAGUUUUUGUUGAGGACAAGUCAUUCACAUACCUGUAUCAGGAAGGCGAGUUUGUAAUGCUAAUGGAGUGAGUCAUUUUAAUUCAUUUCAUGAGUUGUUAUGUACUAUGUAUUUUGAAAAUUGGAAGCUAAACUUUUGAUGCUUGAUUUAUUAGGCCCAACACGUUUGAGCAGAUUGAAGUGCAGAAGGAGAUGUUUGGCAAGGCUUCUGCCUAUUUAAAAGGUAUCACUUUCAAGAAAACUUAUUUUGUCAUUAGUGUAUAUGCAUCAUCAAAAAAAGGUUGACUUUAUAUCAAUCAACUUAGCCAUGGUAGGCAAGGGUGGUUGUCCUCUCUUUCUCAUUAUUCCUCAACUGUAAUUUUUUUCAGAAAAAAAGGUUGACCAAAAUCAAUUAGUGUAGCCCUGGUAGGCUUGUGUUUUUCUUGUCUGGUAUUUCUCAGUCAUUUUGCUGAUUGAAGGAGAAUGUAUUUCUAUGAUGUGUCUACACACCUGGUUCCAAUUUUGUCCAUGCCGCAAAUAACUAAAGGUCUGUUUGAUGACUUAUAUCCCAGUUCAUUUUAAUGGUAUCCAUCCUUGAAAAGUUGCACUUGCAAACAAAGUAACAACAUUACUGUUUUGGGCAAGAAAAAAUGUCCCACCCGAUCUUAACAGAAUCUAAUAAAUAAUAACAAAGCUCCCAUAUAUUAAUUGCUGAAAUUGGUUUAGAAAGAUAAUAUUUAUGAUGCUGAAGAAAUGUUUGAUUAGUAGACUUUAUAAUAUAUCACUGGAAAGAAGGUCCAUAUUGAUCCCUAUGCAUCUAUCACAAAAACGAAAUAGAAUAUAGAGUAACAUAUAGAGGAUUUUGGUGACUAUGAGGAUGUCGAAGUCUUUUUUUGUAAACGGGCAUUUUGGUUCUCGAAAUAGAAUAUAUUGCUGCUGAGUAUGAGGGUAGUUCAAACUGUUAAUUUUGCCUAAGCCGUACAUGAUUCUUGCGUGUUUGUACAUAGAGGGUUUGUCUUCCUGUAACCUUGCAAGGACCCUAUGGACUUGGAUAAGAGAAAAUGAGUUUGAAAACAAGCAAACAUGCGGUCAAAUUGCCGUCGUCGCUCUGUUGAAGCGCAAACUCGUGAUCCCCACAAGUAGAUAUUAAAACAAACACUUGAUUUGCAAAUUACAAAGAUAGAGUUCACAAGCUCUGAAUGAUUGAAUGACAAAGGUACGAGGCAGCCUGCCGUUCACAAAAGUUCCUGCACACAAGUGCCCCUGCUAUAUUGCUAUAAAACUAUUUGACGGACUAACUGAAGAGACUAACCAAAGCCCCAUCUAGUCAUGUGUCAGUCAAGGUUCUAGGGGUCUAAGAUGACUGACGUUUUAGGCCUGCUCUUCGCUCCAAGAAAUCUUUGCAGGUUGCAAGUUAGGGGCUCUAUUUUUGAGCAGUUUUGCCUUGGCCCAACAACCGCACAAAAGCCGUACUUAUAAGCUAGGAAGGGCUACAAAACCCAUCCAAAAUGAGGCUGCGAAGUCCAUUGUAAGCCUCUACAUGCUGUCUAAGGCAUAACAAAAUAAAAAAUCAUGGGUAUUAAAUCAAACACUUGUGCUAUGAAUGGUCCAUGACAAAGUGAUAGGAGCUUUCGGUGUUUACACUGGUAAGAUUUUGGUAUCACUUGCUUAUUAAUUACUCACUGAAGAGGCUUUUUUAUGUUUAGUCAUAAAUAUAGAUACUUCAACCUGUCAGACUAGUUGACAUGGAAUUUAGUGGCUUUUUUUUAUUUCUCGAGUUUUUGUUGGCAGUUUCUCCAAUAAUAUGCUUAAACAAAAAUCUAUUUGCGCAUAAGCAUCGGUUGUUGUUCCACAUUUAUUUUCUCAUAGUUGAACUUGGUACCAAAUGAGCAGAAGACAUGACAGUGAGACUGCAGUAUUAUGAUGGAAAACUGAUGUCUGCAUCAGUUCCUCAUCGUGUAACAUGCAAGGUUGUUGAAGCACAACCUAAUAUCAAAGGGCUAACAGCUGCUCCUCAGUAAGUUGUUUUUACAUGUCAUGGUACCAAAGGACUUGACCAUAACUGGCCAAAGUUUCUUUAGGAAAGUUUCUAUUUUAUUAGUUAUUUGAUUUUCGUAUAUAAACUGAUAUAUUAUUGCUGUCUGAACUUAUGCUGUUUUUCAUAUUAAAGAAAGACAUAUAUACCUCACAAACAAUGUCAUUAAGAAGAUAUUGAUCAGUAUGUACCAGUUUGACCAUUAAACAUUGGUUCAAAUAUCCUCAUAUCAUUCUCCUUGUCUUUCUUAGUUAUUUCUUGGGGAUAUUCCUGCAUAAGAUUUAUAAACAAUUUUUUUGCAUUGCUAAUUUUCCUACUAAAACGGUGUCAUUGAUGGAUAGUCAUUGAGUCUUUUCAUUUCCUUGUUUUUUCACUCUACUUGUUGUGACAAAAUAGAUAUUCACUAAAGGCCUGUCUGAAGGUUACGAAGUUGCCUAAAAUCUAUCUCAAUCUAUUUCUAUGGAAUCUAGUUUUCUCAUCAAACCUGACAAGACGUAUGCCUUCCAUAGUUUGCUGUAAUAGCAGAAGCAUGACCAGCCUCAUCUUGCAUCUCAAUUUCCAUUGGACGACCAUCAUUUGAAUCUGGUGAAAUCCAUUGGCAUAGGGAAUUAUUUUUUCCAACUUGUAAUGUAUGUUUGUUUUUAAUCUCUUUAGUUUCUCUUUCAUUUUGCAGCCAGAAAACAACCUGCAAAAAAAUAAAAAAAAAACAUAGUAAACCUGCUACUAAAAAUAUUUCUCUAGUUUACCACGUUGGUGUGGACCUAUCAACUGGUUGUGGCCAGAAUAUUCUUCAACAGUUUGAGACAAUGUUGCUUUAAAUUCUCUAACUUCCUGGUUCAAUCUUUUGAUCAUAGAUCUUUAGGUCCAUAUUUAUCUGACAUAUUUCUUAGUAAUAUUCUUGCUUUAUAGUAAGAUUUUGCCUUAGAGUCAACUUUUAGUUUAAUUAUAGCAUUUCUUUGUUCCAAUUUUGCGAAUCAUCUCAACAGCCUAAAUUUCUGAAACCUCCUCCCUUCUUGUUGAUCAUCGAGUGCUAGAGAAUACACAAACACAAUAUCAUAUAUAUGUGUGUGUGUACACACACACACNNNNNNNNNNNNNNNNNNNNNNNNNNNNNNNNNNNNNNNNNNNNNNNNNNNNNNNNNNNNNNNNNNNNNNNNNNNNNNNNNNNNNNNNNNNNNNNNNNNNNNNNNNNNNNNNNNNNNNNNNNNNNNNNNNNNNNNNNNNNNNNNNNNNNNNNNNNNNNNNNNNNNNNNNNNNNNNNNNNNNNNNNNNNNNNNNNNNNNNNNNNNNNNNNNNNNNNNNNNNNNNNNNNNNNNNNNNNNNNNNNNNNNNNNNNNNNNNNNNNNNNNNNNNNNNNNNNNNNNNNNNNNNNNNNNNNNNNNNNNNNNNNNNNNNNNNNNNNNNNNNNNNNNNNNNNNNNNNNNNNNNNNNNNNNNNNNNNNNNNNNNNNNNNNNNNNNNNNNNNNNNNNNNNNNNNNNNNNNNNNNNNNNNNNNNNNNNNNNNNNNNNNNNNNNNNNNNNNNNNNNNNNNNNNNNNNNNNNNNNNNNNNNNNNNNNNNNNNNNNNNNNNNNNNNNNNNNNNNNNNNNNNNNNNNNNNNNNNNNNNNNNNNNNNNNNNNNNNNNNNNNNNNNNNNNNNNNNNNNNNNNNNNNNNNNNNNNNNNNNNNNNNNNNNNNNNNNNNNNNNNNNNNNNNNNNNNNNNNNNNNNNNNNNNNNNNNNNNNNNNNNNNNNNNNNNNNNNNNNNNNNNNNNNNNNNNNNNNNNNNNNNNNNNNNNNNNNNNNNNNNNNNNNNNNNNNNNNNNNNNNNNNNNNNNNNNNNNNNNNNNNNNNNNNNNNNNNNNNNNNNNNNNNNNNNNNNNNNNNNNNNNNNNNNNNNNNNNNNNNNNNNNNNNNNNNNNNNNNNNNNNNNNNNNNNNNNNNNNNNNNNNNNNNNNNNNNNNNNNNNNNNNNNNNNNNNNNNNNNNNNNNNNNNNNNNNNNNNNNNNNNNNNNNNNNNNNNNNNNNNNNNNNNNNNNNNNNNNNNNNNNNNNNNNNNNNNNNNNNNNNNNNNNNNNNNNNNNNNNNNNNNNNNNNNNNNNNNNNNNNNNNNNNNNNNNNNNNNNNNNNNNNNNNNNNNNNNNNNNNNNNNNNNNNNNNNNNNNNNNNNNNNNNNNNNNNNNNNNNNNNNNNNNNNNNNNNNNNNNNNNNNNNNNNNNNNNNNNNNNNNNNNNNNNNNNNNNNNNNNNNNNNNNNNNNNNNNNNNNNNNNNNNNNNNNNNNNNNNNNNNNNNNNNNNNNNNNNNNNNNNNNNNNNNNNNNNNNNNNNNNNNNNNNNNNNNNNNNNNNNNNNNNNNNNNNNNNNNNNNNNNNNNNNNNNNNNNNNNNNNNNNNNNNNNNNNNNNNNNNNNNNNNNNNNNNNNNNNNNNNNNNNNNNNNNNNNNNNNNNNNNNNNNNNNNNNNNNNNNNNNNNNNNNNNNNNNNNNNNNNNNNNNNNNNNNNNNNNNNNNNNNNNNNNNNNNNNNNNNNNNNNNNNNNNNNNNNNNNNNNNNNNNNNNNNNNNNNNNNNNNNNNNNNNNNNNNNNNNNNNNNNNNNNNNNNNNNNNNNNNNNNNNNNNNNNNNNNNNNNNNNNNNNNNNNNNNNNNNNNNNNNNNNNNNNNNNNNNNNNNNNNNNNNNNNNNNNNNNNNNNNNNNNNNNNNNNNNNNNNNNNNNNNNNNNNNNNNNNNNNNNNNNNNNNNNNNNNNNNNNNNNNNNNNNNNNNNNNNNNNNNNNNNNNNNNNNNNNNNNNNNNNNNNNNNNNNNNNNNNNNNNNNNNNNNNNNNNNNNNNNNNNNNNNNNNNNNNNNNNNNNNNNNNNNNNNNNNNNNNNNNNNNNNNNNNNNNNNNNNNNNNNNNNNNNNNNNNNNNNNNNNNNNNNNNNNNNNNNNNNNNNNNNNNNNNNNNNNNNNNNNNNNNNNNNNNNNNNNNNNNNNNNNNNNNNNNNNNNNNNNNNNNNNNNNNNNNNNNNNNNNNNNNNNNNNNNNNNNNNNNNNNNNNNNNNNNNNNNNNNNNNNNNNNNNNNNNNNNNNNNNNNNNNNNNNNNNNNNNNNNNNNNNNNNNNNNNNNNNNNNNNNNNNNNNNNNNNNNNNNNNNNNNNNNNNNNNNNNNNNNNNNNNNNNNNNNNNNNNNNNNNNNNNNNNNNNNNNNNNNNNNNNNNNNNNNNNNNNNNNNNNNNNNNNNNNNNNNNNNNNNNNNNNNNNNNNNNNNNNNNNNNNNNNNNNNNNNNNNNNNNNNNNNNNNNNNNNNNNNNNNNNNNNNNNNNNNNNNNNNNNNNNNNNNNNNNNNNNNNNNNNNNNNNNNNNNNNNNNNNNNNNNNNNNNNNNNNNNNNNNNNNNNNNNNNNNNNNNNNNNNNNNNNNNNNNNNNNNNNNNNNNNNNNNNNNNNNNNNNNNNNNNNNNNNNNNNNNNNNNNNNNNNNNNNNNNNNNNNNNNNNNNNNNNNNNNNNNNNNNNNNNNNNNNNNNNNNNNNNNNNNNNNNNNNNNNNNNNNNNNNNNNNNNNNNNNNNNNNNNNNNNNNNNNNNNNNNNNNNNNNNNNNNNNNNNNNNNNNNNNNNNNNNNNNNNNNNNNNNNNNNNNNNNNNNNNNNNNNNNNNNNNNNNNNNNNNNNNNNNNNNNNNNNNNNNNNNNNNNNNNNNNNNNNNNNNNNNNNNNNNNNNNNNNNNNNNNNNNNNNNNNNNNNNNNNNNNNNNNNNNNNNNNNNNNNNNNNNNNNNNNNNNNNNNNNNNNNNNNNNNNNNNNNNNNNNNNNNNNNNNNNNNNNNNNNNNNNNNNNNNNNNNNNNNNNNNNNNNNNNNNNNNNNNNNNNNNNNNNNNNNNNNNNNNNNNNNNNNNNNNNNNNNNNNNNNNNNNNNNNNNNNNNNNNNNNNNNNNNNNNNNNNNNNNNNNNNNNNNNNNNNNNNNNNNNNNNNNNNCAAAAUCCGAGAUUCAACAAACAAGGGGUCUUGAGUGGUAGGUCAGUGCUCGAUGGUCAUCAAGCACUUGGAAGCGAAUGGGAAGGGGAUCCACUAAAAAUCUCUCACCACUCUUUUAGGGGCUACCUCGGAUGCCCAUCCCCUCUUGUCCACCUGGGGGAUUCAAGGGGGCAGAGACGACUGAUAUUUUUUCAUCUGCACCGCUCUGAGAUCCCUUGCAUGACACAUCGGUUUGGGGUUGUUUCCAACUAGUUUGGCCUAUGCCAUGAUCAUCUGACAGAUUAACUUAUGGAUAGACUUUGUACAGGUGUAAGAGUCAAAUACAAGCCGCGAGGCUGUAGGAUAUUGCAGACUUCACUACCUUGCAAAUUAGUACAAAAAAACAUUCUGACGACAAAACAACAAAAUGUUCAAGUAAUGAAGUUUUUGUUGUUGUUGUGGGAUUAUUUCGGUUGUUUUGGCAGUAUUUUAGUGUUCAGCAUUGUAUUGGUCCGGUUGCUGGCUAGUAACAGUGUGGACUGAGAUUUGUAAAUUUGGUUAUAUUGAGUCCUAAAUUUUGUCAUUGACAUGUUUGUUUAGCUAUAUUGCUUGAUCAGCACAAGUCAUUUAUAAGAUUGGUUGGUCAUGAUCAUUUACAUUUUUAAAAAAAUUUUCUAGUCUUUUUUUUCAAAAGUUGGUACAUACCGGCAAUACCAACACAUGAUACGUUGGUUCGGUUUGGACCCUUACCAGUUCCGGCAACGACCAGCCUGGCUCUGGUAUCGAAAAUUGAAAACUUUGGCAAAGGCUAUCAUUCAUGUUACAGCAUAAUCUAUUUAUUUAGACUUCUUUGCUGUUAGUGGGUUAUUUCACUUCUUUAUGUAUGAAAAAUACUUGCUGCAUAAAUUUAGCAAUAUGUUCAAUGGUCUGAUCUUUUUGGUGAUUUUUUGCUUUCUAUAGGAUUGGACAUUAACUUUAUCAUAUUAUGUUUCAUUCUACAAUCGGUGUAAAUUCACCUUUUUCUUUUUUGCACCACAAUUUAUAGAGUUAUGUUAUUUGUCUGAUUGUGAUGCUAUACUCUUUUGUUGCAAUUCAUAGGCACCACCUUUUGUUGAAACUGGUGAGGAGAUCAUUAUUAAUACAACCGACGACUCAUAUAUUACAAGGUUUGUCAAGACUUGUUCUCCUUUUUUCUUUGUGCUUGUUGAUAGUAUCACAAUAUACUGAUUUAUCAUAACUGAAAUUUUCAUUUAUGAUGUCAUUUUCCAAAUGAUGCAUCCUUGUACCACCCAGAUUGGAUUAGCCUAGGCUCCAGUAACCUAUUCGGUUGUGAAAUUUCCAUAGUUAGAUGAUUUUGGAGGUCUAGGUUGAGCUACUUUAACUACUAAGUGGUUUUGAGUUUUGACAAUACUGUGUUACUCAUGGCAAUGAUUUGCUCUUCAUCUUUGAUCAUAACUAGAACUUGGUGGACUCAUUUAAUAUAAAAUUGACUUUAGCACACUUAAUCCUGCAUCAACAGAAUCACGUCACAUUAAUUUUAAUAAUCUCAUGGAAAUGCUGGUCAAAUAAAGAUACUAUUUGAUUCUUAGGUGAGUACCUUUUUAAGGCUCUAGAUGCAACUCAUAGUUAUAUUUGGAAACUCAACAUCUAGAAGGUCUUACAUAUUACCACUCUUUCUUGUCUGUUCAAGUUUUUUCUUAAAUUUCUGAUUGCUCCUCAUUGGGAUAUGUUUUCAGGUCUCCAUAGCAAAAAAAUUAGUGCUAAACAGGUAAUGUUAGGUCUAAAAUCACUAUGCUUAGUUAACCAUCAUGAUUGUAGAUAAAUUUUAUUGCCUGUGCCGAACUAAUAGAAUACAUAUACAUAUCCUCUAACAUCAAAUCAAUAUAUUGAGACAGUCAAAUACAAGGUUUGCCUCUUUUCAUCGAAUAAUUUGCCAAAUAAUUUGAAAUUUACUUCAUUAUCAGAGGUCAUGUUAGCUACACUACUUUUAGCUAUAUCACUAAUCAUCUUUUUUAUCGUUAUUUUGGUUUCCAUUGAUUUAAGAAAUUUAGUGACCAUGGGAUAAUAGAUCAGAAUUUUAAAAACACACUAGAAGUUAUGUUGCUCUUCUAAUUUGUUGUGUCUAUACUUUUGCACAGUGUUUUAAACAUGCACUUAGGUGAGGCGAGGUUCAAGCAUCUUGCGCAGUUGUCGGGCGACGUGCUUCAAUGAAGCGCUUCCUUGGCGCUCGCCUUAGUCGAAGCGCUAGGCGCCUCGGGCAAGUGCCCGAUUAAAGGUGAGCAAUCGAACCAAAUGGUCAACUUUGGUUCAGUUGAAUAGUAACUUGGUUGGUUCAAUCGAACCAUCUAAGCAUAGUAAAUAGUAAUAGUAAACCACACCCGUUCUCCCCCUCUCCCUUGUGCAACCUUGACCCCAUAAACACUAGGUACUUCUUUGCCCUAGUCCUACCGUUGCCUUUGUGUGCAACUGUUGUCGACACACAGGUCCGACGCUUCCUCUGCCGUCGACGAAUGGGUCCGAAGCUCUCGCUAUUGUAGCUUUCGUGUGCAAUUCCCUCUGCCAUCGUUGCUUCUGUGUGUAGCUCUUUCCAACGCCGAGGGAUAGGACCACAACUUUCUCCAUCACCAGUAGACACAUCUGAAGCUUUCUUCGCCCCUGAUGUCAUCGUUUGUAGCUUCCUCCGUUGCCACUGCCAUUGUUCGUAGCUUUCUCUAUCUCCACUGUGGUCGUCCGUAGCUUCUUCUACCGCCAUUACCAUCGUCCGAAAGUUCCUGUUAUCAAACUACUGUUAUCAUAUAAUAAACUAAAACUGAUAUAAAUCCUUAGAACUGUUGACCUAUUUAGAACUGAUUCUUAUUUAGAAUUACUAAUCCUUAUUUAGCACUAUUAAUUGCUAUUUAAAAUUAUUAUUAGUCCCUAUUUAGCAUUGUUAAUCUUUGUUUAUUUAGAACUGUUAUUAGGGUUUCAUGAUUAAUGACAAGUGUACAAAGCGAUACAAAAGAUUCAUAAAAAAAUUUAAUUUAAUGUCAUAUUUUUAUUUAUAUAAUCAUAUUUAUCAAUUGUAUUUUAUAUUUUUAUAUUUUUAUAUUCUAGAGUAUCUUGUUUCGCUCAAGCGGACUUUGGGCGUUUUGGGACCUUGGCGUCUUUUGGUGCCUAGCUUUUAAAAACACUAGUUUUGCACUAUCAAAAAGAAAAUCUGGAGUUAGUUGAAUCUUCAAUAAUAUUGUAGAUUAUGCAUUGAUUUCCUCCAAAAUUCUUUUGAGGUGAAUCUGAAUUCUGCAACAUCGGAUUCAGAUGGUACUGGACUGACUUGUGUCAAGAGAAUUUAAUGGACAGGUGAUCAUGGUCUCAGUGAGGUUGCUUGGGCUGUUAAAUUGUUCUGAUUCAUAAAUGGCGUUGUUGAGUCUUUUCUUAAAUGAGCAGUCUGAGGAACCUUAGGUAGAGAAGUCUUUGAUGAACAAUAGCCAGAGAUAUCUUAGUUUUUCAUAUAUUAGGUUCAAUCACCCAAGGAUGGAGUGGCAAUAAAUUAGCUUAUCUUCUAGCAAGAGAAGCAAAAAGAAUUCAUAGUAGGGCCUGGUUAUGGCAGCUGACCAAUUAUUGUUGGGGAAGCUCUCAUUUAUGAUGUUGAGUCCUCUGUUUCAUAAUGGGAACUUCCUCAUCACUUCCUCCUAAAAGAGGCAACUUUAAUCACUUGUUUAAUUUAUCUUGACCAAUCAUAUGUAUAUAUUAGGUGAAUGUUGUUUCUGAAUAGUAUUCCAGGAGUAAAGCAGUAUAUAAGCAACUCUAAAUAACUGUAACUGGUUUAGCACCAUAAGGUGAUAUAUACGACUGGGAGGAGGUUAUGGUUCCAUGGGAUCAGUGUUGUGUGUUAUUUCUUUUCUAGAGGACCCUUGCAAUGAAGUACAUCUGAGUAGGAUAAAUUUAGUGCUGUAAGCUGGUUUUCCAUGUGCUGUGGACAUAUAAAGAAAAUAUUGACAAGCUGUCUAACGAUGGAAAAUAUACAAUAUAUUCAAGAACUGAAACAUUUAAUUUCCUGGAAGAGAUCCAAGCGGCGUUAAUGUUUCAUUCUCUUAGUCACAAUACACAUUGUUUUAUAUAUUUUCCUAUUUGGCAGCAGUUUAAAAUCUUAGUUUUAAUCAUUAAAUAAAUUCCUUAUAAUGGCCAUUAUGAAUCUUUUCAGGGCAAAGGAGUAGCAUUUUUGAGGUAAAGCAUGCACCUUAGCCUAUUUAUUGACAGAGGGUGACUAGUUUCCCCAAGUGGCUCUAUCCAGUUAUAUUCGAUUAUGAGUUGUACAAUUGAGAUGCUUUGUAAAAAGAAAUUUACCCUUCUUGUUUAAACUUUUGAGGAAAUUUGAUGAAUAAAAUAUUGAAAUAUUUGCUUAAAGAUGUGUUGAAUAAUUUAACUCAGAAUUUCCAAAACUGGCUAAAAUAAAAUUUACAGGAUUGACGACUGGGGCUAUUGUAACAAACUAAAGUGUUUGGAAUUGCCUUUCCAUUAUAUGAAUAAUGUAAUAUAGAUGUGUACAAUAAAUUACAAUCAAUCUGUAAUUCCUGAAACCAAUGUGCGGGUCUUCUCUUUUAUCAUUGCAUUUGGAGUGUCGUCUUCCAUCUAUUGAAUGAAAACCUGUAUCUUCUAAAUAGUUCCUCCUGGUUUGAAGAUUCCUUGUUCCUAUAUGUAGCCUUAAAGACUGAUCUUAUCGAACAUACAAGUAAUGAGCAAUAAACGGUGUUUCUUUAUAUUUUUUCACAUAAGAUUCUUAAUUUGUGAUGUUUCAAAUUGCAAAUAAGAAUUACUUUAUAAUUGAUGAUGAGUGGAAUGAGGCUUCUGUGAUUGCUUUAUUUGAUUCAUAUCUCAUGCGGAACAUCUAUUUCCACACAGAUGUGAAUGAAUUGGCCGUAUUCAAAGUUAAGGGAUCGAGAAUCCCGUCGAUUAAGACGCACCAACCGGGCGUGGCUUACACAACACUAACAUGACAUGAGGAAGCCUCUCAGGUUUGAUUCUAUGCUGAGCAAACGAAACUAAUAUUGAACUCAAUCUUUUGCAGGAAGGAGACAAACAAUACGUAAUACAUGUAUAAAAUACAGGUAUUUUAUCAAGGAUUAAAUCUGAUCAUAUAAUUUUUUUCUUUAAAUUUCGGAUAUGAUAUAUCCGAAAUGGAAGGGCGUAAGCGUUGCAUCUCAAGAACCAAACAAUCCUCUUAGCUUUUGGUCACGUUUAUAAGCAGCUUGGACCUUCGUCGUCGUGUAUGCCCAACCAAAAGGAAGGGCAAGUUGUCUCUGUCCUCGGUAAUUCUAUUGAUCAUCAUCUUCAUCAUACUUGUUUCUAGGAAACGCGGAUGUCUACAUAUAUGUAUAAGAAUCAGAUCUGAGCCGAAUACCUGUCGGAUUAUCUUUCCCUUCGCGUGAAAGAAAGGAUGCAUAUAAUCUGGAAUAUCUUUGGUUAGGAUUUCUUUCGCAUAUUGCAGAACAAUACUGCAUACAUCUACCUACGGAAGACGAAGUGGAUGCACCAACGAGAGGUAUAACACCCCUAAUUAGUCCCAAAUCGGAAGUGAGCAAGAUUAAGAUUGACUUAUAAGGGUCUGAUGAGUAUAUUAUUAUCAUUUUCAGUUUAAGCAUUUUGGUUAGUGGUUUAAACCAAACGAAAUUAAAAGACCAGUUAGCCCAUCAGGCCCGAGUGGAGUCAGAAGACUCGCCACGACGUGAGUCCACUAUUGGACUACGACUGACGCACUAUGCUAGGGAUUGAUUUAGGUCAUGCUGGACUUGGGCAAGAUCUGAUGAGUAUACUACUAUCAACUUCAACUUAAGCAUUUUGGUUAGUAGUUUAGAUCAAACGAAGUUGAUAGGCCAGUUAGCCCAUCAAGCUCGGGUUGUGACAAGAGGAGAGCAUCAAAAGAGUGGAAUAAUAGAAUUCUCUCUCUCUCUCUCUAAAACAUGACAUAUAACAAAAACUAAAUAAAUAUAAAAAUUACGUAUAUGACAGACUACUUGUUACAACUACGAUGAAGAAGUCAACAUGGCUUGGUCUUAUCUCGAAGGCAAAAGCUCGUCCUAGAAACCCAUGUGGUGCUCUUAUAUGUUAGUUGUGGUGGGGGGAAUCGAUUGACACGAUUCCGAGAUACUACUUGUUUAUCCUAGGUGGAUUCUACGAUGAGUCGAGGUGGUUUGGCUUCUUUGGGAUUUUGUAGUCGAACCAAGGAGCACCUUGGCUUCACCGUAGUUUCUGCACAAAAGGUCAACAUCAGGGGAGUUCCUGACUCGACACCCCCAUGGUAAAGUUAGUAGUGGGAAUCAGGGUAGUUAUAAUUUUUUUCUCUCUCCCUUUUAGGUGGGGGUUGGCUUUUAUACUUGGACGGCCGAUGGUAGGAGGCUAAUGGCUCCUCCCUUAAUCUAUGGUCCUUUAGGAGCUCAUUUAUGUCGAUGAUUGAUUGAUAUAUUUCAUUAUGAUGUGUUAUUAGUGAAGGACAACCAAAGGGGCACUAUUUGUCCAAGAUGAUAUCUGCGAGAUAAACGAAUGGUGGCCGCCUUUGUCGAAGGGGUAAAUAAGCCUCACCGCUAGGGAUUAAUGCUUCCUACAAGCACACGGUUGGGAGAGAAGUUGGACCUCAUUGUCAGGGAUUAAUGCACCCUACGAUCUUGUAUCUAAAAAAGGGGGAGAUUGGCCUCGCUGCCAAGGAUUAAUGCUCCAUUUAGUUGAGCGUGCAACCUUUCCCAAAUUUACGACUAGUAAGGGUUGAUAGGUUGCUUCCCCGUUGUACAUUGCAGGGAAGGAGCAACAUGCAAACCCUUUUGCCCUCGUCACUACUUAGGUGGCGGUAUAUUAUCAAGUGAGUUAGCAUGUCAAAGCUGACAUCAUCUUAUUCCCUAUCACUAUCAAAAAUAAAUAUCACACUGUAUACAUAUUAGUAAAACUAAAUAUAAAUAAUAUACCUAUUAUAUCAAAUAUCAUCCUAGGUCUUUUAAGAAAAUAAAUAAAAUUGAGUGGGAUUAAUUUAUAGGUUCAUCUUAAAAAGGUGGAAACGAAUUUAAAGUUAGAUUAGGAAUUACAUUAGAAAUCAAUGGCUUUAAUAAUUUAUUUUGGACACAAGUAAAUAUUGUAAUCAUUAAUUAAUGAUUUAAUUGAACGAUAUUUUUAAUUAUAUAACUGUUUUGAAUUAUUUCAUAUUAUUUUUAUUUCCCUAAAACCAUUAAAAACCUAUUGGCAUACAUUGAGACAUGAUCUUGAUUUGUAUGGAUGAUAAAAAUUUAUUCAAAAUUAUUUUUUUAUUAGAGUUGGAAAUUCAUCUCCAUGCAUUUGAACUAUAAAUGGUAAUCUCAAUACGUGAAACAAAAUUUUACUUUAGUAUUUUCCUUAGUUAAAAGAAUACUGAGGUGUACACGACAAAAUCCACUUGAUUCUUAAUCUAGUAAAGAGUUUAAGAACAAAGAAUUAUAUAGGCAAUUUUAUUUUUAUUAUUUAUAAUAUUAUUUUAAGAACUUAUAAUAUUUCUAAGAUAUCUCGUUAUAAAUGGACAAAAAUAUCCUUAACUUAUUUCUUAAUUUUAUUAAAUUCUUUCAACUCUUUCCAAACAAAUAUCUUUUUCUUCCUCUUGUUUCUAUUAUCAUCAUUAUCAUCAUCUUAAUUGUUAGAUUAUCUUUCAUUAUUAAUGAAGCAAAAUGAUGAAAAAAAAAUAAUCAAAUGAGAUGAUCUAAAGAUCGAAGAGGAAUAAUUUUUUAUAUUUAUUAGAUUGAUAUAAUAUUUUUAUGGUUAAAAACUAAUAAGAUGAUAUUUCAAACGUCUGUAAUCUUUUGCGUCAGUUUACAUAACCCAUAAGAUACCAUAUUCCAGGUUUGAAAUAUAAUAAUUGAGGGUUGUAAAAAAUAAGGAUAUGAUCUAUAAUUAAAUAUUUAUAUUUAGAAAAUUAUAUUUUAUUAUCUAAAUUACUAAUAUUAGAAAGGGAUUACCAACAGCUAUGUCCUUAUAAUAAAUGUCAUUUAACAAGUUUAUUAUGAGUAUAUAUAGAAGAUCAUAAUAAUGGCAAAUGUGGAAUGACAUCGUUGCAUUUCUUAUAUCUUCAAUCAAUUUAUGAUUUGAGGAUUAAUCAUAGAUUUGAGUCCAUGAUUUGAUUGAGUAAUUUGAGUAUAUGAUGAGGAAAAUCACUCUCUCAAAAUCUAUAUAAAUAUAUAUUACCUCAAUAAAUGAAAUCGCUAGUCUUCACAAUAAGUUCCUCAAUUUAUCAUGGUAUCAAAGUUCCUAUUGCCUCGAGCAAGACUCACCCUUCGUUGCUGUCUAAUGACAAUAAUCCCUCUUCUCUACUGAUCUGCCAUAAUGAUUAUCUAGUUAUCGAUUUUAUCUUUUACUCGGUAGUCCUUGAGCAAACUAUUAUCGUAAACAUCAACUGGAGUUAUUUUAUAAAUUUGCCAUCUUUCUCACAAGUGAGCGACGAACACUAGCCAUCAAUAUUGAUUACUUUGCUUGGCAAUCUUCAUCCAAAAUCUAUAAUAUUCAACCAUCAUAUAUCUGCUCUUCUCGCCCGCCACCAACCUUUCCCUUCCAUUGGAGUUCGCCCCAAUAAUAAUAAUCUCCUUGCUAUCUAUUGCCACUGUUAUUAUUGCUAGUCAUAGGUACCCUGCAAGCCAAUCACGUGAGUGAUGACACGUGUGACUUGACACACAGUCAUUUUGCUUAUUAUUAUUUGAUAUUUUAUCACUUUAUAUUGUUUAUUGCUUGAAUAUAUUGUGACAUCAAUGGAUCUGUGCAAUAAGAAUCGGAUCGUGAUAAGAUCAUGAUAAUGAAACUGAUUCGCCUUUAAACACAGAUCCUAAAUAAUAUCAGUUAUAGGUUAUUCGAGAGGGACAUCGAGAUAACCAGACAGACUGAUGUAUUGUAUACCCAUCCAUAUGAUGGAUGCAGCUGGUCUCAUAGCUGCUCGUGUAGGGACACUAGGGAUACAAUACAGGUACUCAUUGGGAAAUAAGUUUACUAAUUUAUCCGCUUAUGGAAUGCUGGAUAGUUGAUGACGCCUUAUUGUCAAAUAGUGAUUCUGUAGUCUCAGUGGUGUAUCUGGUCCUUAGACUUGAGACACCAAAGAUGUCCUAUAUAAGUACUUCAUUCUUUGAUACCAGACUUAUAGGUUUGGAGGUUUCAGAUCUAGCAUAAUCGAUUAUCGGGAGUGGUAGCCAACCUUACGAGGACUAUUGAGUGUCGAUAGAGGAUCAUCCACACUCGGUGUAUGAGAGGAAUAUCUCAUAUGUUCUUGUUCAGAUAAAUCCUUGGCCAAUGUCAUUCAGAUUGAGAGAGAAAGAGUUAUCCGGGAGAACUCGAUUAGAGUGAGACUCGAGUAGAGAUCGUUUGGAUCUGAUAGCACCAUAUCCGGUAUACGGUCUCUAGGAUAUUAGAUAAAUGAGGGACUAUAAGUAUAUAGUAACUAAGGAUAGACAAGUCGAAUGGAUUGGAUUCUCCUAUAUCGUUUGAGGACUACGACAUAGUGGCAUAGUACGUCUGCAAUCAAUGAGUCGAGUGAAUUAUUAUGAAAAUAAUAAUUUACUGAGUUAGAAGGAGUUUUGAUAAAUAUGACUUACAACCAGCUCGAUAUUGGGCCUAGAGGGUCACACAUAUAUGAUAGGCAUUGCGAUGAGUAGAGGUUCAGAUAUGAGAUAUUUGUCGGAGCCCUUAUCUUAUUGGAUAUCUAAUAAGCCCAUGAACUAUUAGAUCCUAUGGAUGAGAUCCAAUAAGUGCCAAUGAAAUAUUAUUGGAUAGUAAUCCACUAAUCUAAGAGGCUUGGGUAGUUGGAUGAAGAUCUAAUACCUAAUAGGGCAGGAUCCAUUAGGGUUAAAUUGACAUAGGACUUCUAUCAGUAGGAGGGAUCCAUUCGGGUUAAAUUGACAAAGUUGUUUUACGGUGGACCUCUCGGUGUCAUUAUCACAAGAAGAUUCUUCCCUACACUUCUCAUAUAUGAUAUUUAUCAUCUAUCAUGUGCUAGAUCAUCAAUUAGUUUUGGACUUUUCUUCAUAGAUCACACCUUAUUCUUAGCAUGUCUUUAUCAUCUAUAUCUGACGCUCCAAUUAUUAUUUCCUUAUGAAACAAUAGUUUAUCUCAGCCUAUGUUAUAUUCAUCAAUAUAGCAACUUUAAUCCCCUUCAAACUAAUCAGAGGUAACUAUGCAUCUUAACGAGCACAAUUCACCAAUCUCACCUUUGGAUAUGAUCAAUUAGGCUAAUUGACGGCUCUCUUAGUUGUCCACUAGAAAAUAUUAAAAUAUUGGUAGAACCUAACCUAAUAACAAAUUCUGAUCACAAGUUAUGGCUAUGACUAGACCGAUUUAUUCUACAAUCAAGUUGUUAGCUCCAUAACACCACUAAUCACUUCGUGCAGACUGCAAUAUAUGUUAAAUCUCUUAUCUACUUUAAUGAAAACAAUAAAAAAGGAAAGUACUAUUGCUACUUUAAUAUGCCAUCCCUUAGUACCGAAGAAGUCAUAAUUCAUACUCUUAAUGGCUUAAGAGACAAAUAUAAGAAAUUGACGAUAGUAAUUCAGGCACGUGACUCACUAAUAUCAUUUGAAAAACCAUAUCUAAGUUGAUUGAUCAUAAAAUAUAUUUGAAAUAAGAAGAGAGGAUUUUGAGACCAAUUAUUACAACUCAAUUCAAUAAAUUUUUUUUUUAAAGGGUGACCAUUAAGGAAGGAGGAGAAGAGUUAUUAAGAUAAUCUACAUAAGAUCAUGAUUCCAAGGGUAAUAAACCUUCGGACCAACAAAGAGAUGAUGUUUAAGUCCACCAAAGUGGAGGCUAUGGGAUAGUAUGUUUCAUCUAAUAAUAGCCUUAGUAAGAGAAUUAGAAAGAAUAUUUUUGUUAAAGAAGUCGUCACCACUCUCCACCCGUGAAUCACUUUAAUUAUAUGAUGUCAGUCCUAUUAUAGAUCCCACACAAUGUCGGCAAAUAUUUAGUUCCUUAUAAUAUUUAUCUUUCGCACAUCUGGAUAUCUCAUUUGCAGUCAAUAAAUUAUCAUAAUUUAUGUAUUAGCUCUACACUAUGAAUUAGUUUAUACUAAAAUAUGUCCUGUGGCACCUCAAAUAGACUCUUAAUUAUUAAUUUUUUCGUAAAUACUCAUCACUUUAUCUCUAUGUACUUUAUCUCUAUGCCUUCACCAAUGGUGAUUGGGUAGGCAAUACUAAUAAUGGAAUAUCUACGUUAUCUUUUUUAGAUUAAAUAUAAUCAAUUAGAGUUUUAAGAAAUAAAAUAUAAUUACAAGAUUUAUCACUGAAGUUGAAUACCGAGCCAUCGCCACUACCGUUAUAGAACUUAAUUGAGUCACCAAUCUACUAUACAAUUUGACAUCACCUCAUAAUAUACUCCUAUAAUAUAUUAUGAUAAUAUCGGUGUCACCUACCUAUACGCUAAUUCAAUAUUUUACUCAUACAUGAAACACAUUGUCAUCGGUUUUUACUUUAUUAGAUAUCAAGUUAUCAUACAUUAACGACGUGUUUCACAUGUCUAUACUUCCGACCAAGUAGCAGACUCCUUCACAACGCCUCUAACUCAUAGGAUAUGUUAAUUAUAUCGGUCCAAGAUUGAUAUCUUUAACGAAAAAAUAAUCUUACGAGGGAAUGAUAAGAUUAGAAUAGAAGCAAAUAUGGAAUGAUAAGAGAUUAGAAUAGAGGCAAAUAUGGAAUUACAUCUUUGCAUUCCUUAUAUCCUAAAUCAAUCUAUGCUUUCAUGUUCAAUCAUAAUUUUUAAUUGAGUAAUUUGAGUGUAUCACUUGUUAUUCACAUAUUCAUUGAGGAUACUUCACUCCCAACCUACUAAGGUAGUGAGUCGCUAAGAUCAGUAUAACAAUCUAUCUAUGUUAUUCACUAGAUCUGAUGAGGACAGAAAAAUGCUUAAUUUAUAAUAUAUUUAUUGUUCAAAAUCUUCUUGCUUGCAUUCCUACUUAAGCAUUAGCUUAUUCUUAAUAUCAAAUUUAUUUUCUAAAAGUCGAAUAUGUAGAAUCUGAGAUAUGUUUUGAUUUAUACCGCCACGUUUUUCUUCACCUAAUAAACUCAGUCGAACCAAGAAAAAUAGUAAUGUGAUCAUCUUAUUACUCAAAAGGUUCCAAAUCCAUAACACCGUAAGCCAUCACUGAUCAUUUCAUAUCGGUUUCGAACGAAGUCGACCAAAGCCUGGUGAUAGUGACGAUAACUUCUGGCAUCAUCGUAUGGAUGCUCCUCUCUUCCCUUUUGUCUUGCUCAAGCACCCCAAUCCACAAGCCGCAUGCGGUAUAGUUUUCUGUCCCCUAAGCUGGCCAGGGGAUCCCAGGUGAAGGGGCAGAACGAGAACCUCUCCCCUCUGGGAUUUGCACCUCUUUCGCCACCCAGCUCCUCCAUGGCACCGCUGCCGAGAUGGAGAGAGUAUAUCCUCCACUCUAUCUGUAGAAAGAUGAUGUUGAAGUCAGGGUGGAAUCCAAGCGGCAAGACGUCGUAGGCGAUGUCACCGUCGUCAUGCCUGUGUCGUCGAUGCAAUUCCUUGUGCCAUUUGAUGAGAGUCUGGCAGCUACUAGUGUGCUUCAGCUUCCAUACGCGUUGGCCGGCCUCCGCCACAUUGAUCAAGACGCGCAGUUCCCACUCGUUGCACAAAGCACCGUGGAGGAACCCUCCACAUUUUCCUAUGACACGCCUUAGUCGCCCUGCCGAGCUUAUAUCUGGGAGAAAGUACACCAUGUCUCGGUCUUCGAGAUGGUCGAUGGUGAAGGCGUUCCAGGACUCGUCGGUUAUGGUGACGUCGGUAGCCAUGAGCUCAUGAUCAGCUGAAUGGCAACGUAGAUCCGAUUGCUUGCACGACACCGUAAAACAAGGAUGCGAUUCAUUAGUCAGCAGCUCCUUCUGGCUCCUACGCAUCUCAGACCACUGAAAUGGCGCAUGAGUCUGCCCAUUCUCGAAGAAGAGGAAGCACAUGAACGGAAGGCUGGCAUGGCGAUCGAACAACAACCUCGGGCCGACAAAUCUGCAUCUCUGGCCCAGUUCUACUUGUCUGGGUGUGGCAUUCAUGCUGAUGAUCACCCAAUCAGUCUUGUUCGCGGGGUUGCAGACGAUCAUGCAGUUGAAGAAGUUGGCAACACUGCCAAAACACAGGAGAAGCAACCCGUUGCAGCUAUCCAGAAGAGUCAAGUUCCGAUAGUCAGGGAGAUGAGCGAUGAGUUGGGUGAGAUCGAAGUGCUGAUCUUUGAAAGGGUAGACGGGUGCAUAGUUCCAGGAUCGAUUGGUGGGGCGUCGAUAGAAGAACCCGUGCAUGGGGGAGCGUCGCUGCAUGGUCAUGUAAGGGCCACGGUCGGUGAAGAAGGCAUGCCACGCUUUGGCAAUGCACCGAAACCGAAGCGCUGACUUCACAGGCAAUCGGAAGAGUAUCUCAUGCAACAGGUGGUCUGGAAGAGCAUCAAUGCUCGGGCCGUCGUCCAUCGUCUUCUCAGCUAUUUUCUUGUGCACGUCGAUGUAAACGGGGAAGCAUGUGUUGUGUCUUAUAUAGGGUAUAAUAUCCGAUACGUGAUGGGAGUUGGGAUCGGUAUGUGUCGAAGUCGGUAUGCCCGUAAGGAAAGUUGCUUUGUGGCUCGAUAGGGAAAGAGCAUGAUGGCUAUGGUUGGCUUCUACUUCUCUUUGGGCAUGUCAUAAGGAAAACGAAAGGGAUCCUAUUUUUCUUAAAAUGUUAAAAUUUUAAUUUCAAAUUUAUAGAAAAAAGGUGAACCUUUAUUAGAUGACUUUUUAUAUUCACAUAACAAUUUUAAUUCUACGAGUGUGGUUUACGUGGAAACAAAUUAAUUUUAGUGAUAGAAAAAUAUAAGGAAAAUAAUCAUCCUCAAUCAAGAUGCACAAGGAGAUUGAGGGCUCAUUAAUAUUCUUCUCAUACCACAUAAUAUUUCUUCCAAUUGAACUGUUAUAAAGGUCCACUAUACCAUAGUUUUCAAGGUCGUACUCUAUUUAUCUACAUUCUCUUCUAUUUUGUUCCAUGACUAGUAUGGCCUUCAGAGGGAUCAUGCGAUGAACCCCUAUUCGACCUUGGUCUUCUUAUAGGUUGAUAUUAGAUUGGAUGUAUGAGACCCUCUCGAUCAUACCCCUAAGAUCUGUUAGGCAUGUGGGUCCAAACUAAGUUGAGCUCGCCCGAUUAUCACUGAUAUCUUUUCCUAAUAUUUCGUUGUUAAAAAGAGGGCCCACAUGUCACGAGCAUCAUUUCGCUGACCCUCUCAAUAAGUGCUUUAGUGAAAGUGCUUCACCUCCAACCUAUAGUACCUUUACUCGUGGUGACAAGUAAUAUGUGUUUCCUACAUUCAACACUUCUUCCUCAACGUAGACUCUAUUAGUAUUAGCGGUUGUUCAAUAAUCCUAGUCUCAUUUGAAGGACUAUCUUGAUUUAAAGGAGUAGAUGAAAGAGUUUAUCGAUCACAUUGGGUGCUUUAUGUGCAAGCAUAAAGAUUCAACUCCAUAAACAAAGAGACUAGUGAAGAGGUAGAUCGACAUCAUAAUCGGUAGUCCAACCUCCGAAUGAGACAUUUCACUAACUCACAAAGAAUAUGCUUGAGAUGCUGCUAUUGAGAAAUACUAAAGGCUAGUAGGAGAUUCGAAGAUAACUUUUAAAGAAGAGGAGGCAUGGGAGCGCUAUCGAUAAAUUUUAUUAUGAUACAAGUUAAGGUUGAUUGAUGAACUUAUCAACUCUGAAUAGACUUUGGACUAUAGUGUCAAUCUAAGUUCUUAAAAAGAUCAAGGGUUGAGGAACUAAAGUAUUUUGAAGGAUUCUUGCUAAUUCUACCUCUAAUGGAUCCUUGAGAUGCUGAUCAAACCCCUCGUCAAGUGGCCCUUGACCAAGUUUACCUCAACCAAACCAUCAAAAUCGAGACAAUAUUACCCGAGGCAAAGAGAGUAAAGUACAUUCACUUCCUUAGGGUAAAUGUUAAAGUCUUCCCAUGGUCCCUAGAAGAUAAACGUAACCCAACACCAUUUAAACAUCACACUUGGAGCUUAACCCAUGAAGUAGAGACCUCAGAUAUAAAAAUAUUUUCUCUUAAGAUAAUUAUCCUCUGUCAAACAUUAAUUAGCUGGUAGAUAUCACAUGAAGACAUUUGAUAUUUAUGGAUAUCUUUUGGAGAUAUAAUCAAAUUAGAACAACUUGACACACACACAUUUGAUAUUUAUGGAUAUCUUUUGGAGAUAUUAUCGGGUUAUGUCAUUCGGAUUGAAGAACGGUGAUACAAUAUAUUAAAGAAUAAUGAAUCAAAUAUUCCUUAUCCAGCUGACGUAAUCAUGAAAAGCAAAACGAGCAACACACAUCUAGCUAAUUUAACAGAAACAUUUUAGACACUAAAAAGGUUCAACUUACAUCUCAAUCUAGCCAAGUGCUUUAUAUUGGUAAAUGGGAGUCCAAUCGUCUCAGUUGUUACAUGCCCAACACACUCAUUAAGUUUAACUCGAUCAAAUUGAGCACGUUGUCUUUUCCUUAAAGAAGACUAUCUAGUCAUUAUGAUGAGACCAUUUAAACCCUUAAAUCUAUUAGAAAUUCUAUAUAAUGUAUUACAUGACAUCCACUGAGAACAUCGAGCCGCACAUCUCUCCAAUCUGCCAAGUCUAUUUGACUUUUGUUUGAUUCCUCGUUUAAGAUUGACCAAAGUCAACUUGAAAUGGAAUAAUAAAUACAAUUCUUAUAUAUAUAUAUAUAUAUAUAUAUAUAUAUAUAUAUAUAUAUAUAUAUAUAUAUAUAUAUAUCCAAUUAAGGCUUGCGCAGACUAUUAUUAUGACAACGACAAACCGUUUCGCUGUUCAAAGUAAGACCUCCAUUUCAGAUCUAGCGUUAGGGUUCUCAGCUACUCCACAGAGGACCUCCGAGGCCCGAAACCAUGUCGUCGGCUUCUCGCCCUUGGCCGGGCUACGGCGCCAUACCCACCGCACCCGAGGAGGCGGCGGAGCCGCUCUCUCCGCGGGUCCCCUUCGCCUCCGGUUCCCGCGCUGUCGAGAUGUUCUCCCGCGCCAAGGAGCGCGGCACGGCCCUGGUUGCCACCCGGCGGCCCUGGCGCGAGCUCGCUGCCCCCUCCGCUUUCUCAAGCCCUUACGGCUACCGCGACGCUGUGGCCCGUGUCCGCCGCAACCUCGCCUACUUCCGCGUCAACUACGCUCUCGUCGCCCUCUUCGUCCUCUUCUGCAGCCUCCUCUGGCACCCCGUCUCCAUGAUCGUGUUCCUUGCCGUCUUCGUCGCCUGGUUCUUCCUCUACUUCUUCCGCGACGAGCCGGUGGUGUUCUUUGGCCGCGCCGUCGACGACCGCCUCGUGCUGGCUGCGCUCUCCCUGGUCACCCUGGUCGCUCUCCUGUUCACGCACGUCGGAUUGAACGUUCUGGUCUCGCUGAUCACCGUCGCUGUGCUCGUCGGACUGCACGCCGCAUUCCGCUUCACGGAUGACCAAUUCCUGGACGAGCAGGAAGUGGCUGAUGGGGGCUUGCGGUCGUUUGUUGGCAGCCGAGCUUGACCGUACUCAACCUUCCCAAUCAAAAAACUGGUUUGACAUAUUCUAUCACCGUUUUGCUGAAAUUGAGGUUUGAUGGAGCGGUUUUUGUUGCGAUCAUGUCGAAUUUGUCGGAGGGUGCUUCAACCGAUUGCCACUUUGGUAGGAUCAGAUUCGUGGUGGAUACUGACUGUGCCGGCAUUUUCUGCCUUCUGGUAAAGUGAUCUCUGACUUUGUUUGGUUUAGAGAAGUCAAAAUCUUCAUUUCUUUUGCUUGAUCUGAUUACUCUUUGUGAAUGCUAACCUGGAAAAUUGAUCAUUUUCCUCACAAGGUUGAUAUUUUAUCAUUAUCCUGUAUUUUUUGCUCCCUCUUUCUAUCAUUAUCAAUGAGCUUUGUAUUUGAUGGGUAUAAAUUGUAUAAUUAUUAUGCUAAAUUUUCAUAUAUUGUCAUUGUUGUUAUUUUAUUUGUUGAUCAUUUAGUAGAUCUCACUUUCCAUGUAGUUCUUGGAUCCAUCGAAGAGGUUUAGAUAUUUCAGAUCUACUGUUGGAAAUCAUAAUGUGAUUCUAGGAAUUUAUUCAUAUGUCACAGCCAUGUUUGUCAUGAUAAAAUAUUGCCAACAUUUACACACAUGACCACUACUUAGCUGCUAAACAGUGUAUUGGUUCAUAAAUUCUUUUAUUCCUUCUAAGCUGUUCGAUCAUCUACCAAGAUUCAAUGAAACCAUGUCAGUACCUCCUGAGUCGAGAUCUUGCAGUGAUUCAAACACUCGGCUUGUUUCCUGCUAUCCUUCACGGCAGAGCAAAGAAGGAUAAUACAUUUUCUACCUCCUCACAACCAAAGAUCAUAGAGAUGAAGAGAAGAGCAGACAUGGUCUCUGCAUUGGUAUCCAUUGUUUAGACUGUUGGCACACCAAGGAAGAGGAUGAAUCACACAGAAGCCAGUAGGGAAAGAGUUUGUAGAUGAAGAUGGUAAUCAAGUAUCAGUAUGUGCUCUGUCCAGGGAAGACAAGAUACACAGUGUUAAACACCAUUAACUCUUGCAAUUUAAACUGCAAAUAUCUACUGAUUUGUUUGAUUACAAAAUCUGGUUGCUUUGACAAUUAUUUGUUCUCUAGUGUCUUCCACGCAUCUGUGGAUUUGUAGUAACUCUCAUGCAUUUGUAGUUAUCCAUCUUCCUGAGGGAAGAGACUGCUUGCUGUGCACAGCCAUCAAGUGUUUUGCACUGGAAAUUUGUUAGUGCUCAUCAUGCCAUCUUAGUAAUGUGAAAGAAGUAACAGUAGAAAGGUUACAGAUUGGAAUGACUUGUAUAUUUCUUCUCUCAUGAACUCUUUUAAACUUUAAGCAGACAAGCCUAUAAACCUUUUAUAAGAGAAUUUUAAUUUUGUGUUGGGAGUACGCACACAUGAAAUAUUAUUUUUGUUUUGGGAGGCUGCAACAUUCUUGUGGAUGACAAUUAGUGGGUUCCAACGCCAGUGUCACAAUGAAGAGUAAGGAAAAUAAUAUAAGCAGUGUCACAAUGAAGAGUAAGGAAAAUAAUAUAAGCUUGAACAGUAGGAUUCCAGGAGCUUUCUUUCUUUUCUUAUUGCUUGUAUCAUAAAAGAUUAAUGUUUAUUUUAAUCCUAUGAUCUUGGUUAUAAAUCUGUUAAGCUUUUAUGAUUUAUUCGUGUUUAAAAUAACUCUUACAUUAUAAAAAACGUAAUAUAUAAAUAUUCUCCGUCAAGUCUGAGUUGACAGAUGUUAGAGUUUAUUUAUAUGAUAUACUGAUUCAUAAUAAAUUAUUAAUAUAAUAAUAUAUGUAAUUUAGGAUAAAGAUUCAUUGUAGCUCCAAUGGUUUUGGUCAUUCACUUCUUAAGUCCUUACGAUUUACUUGUGUCUAAAAUAACUCAUAUUUUCAAAAACAUAAUAUGUAAGUCUCUCAUAUUAAGUCUGAGUUAAUAGAUGUUAGAGUUUGCUUACGUGACAUGUUGACUCUUAAGACCUCCAUUAAUGUCUGGAGGAGGCAUUGUCGUGGAAGUGACCCCCAAUAGUAAUACAAAGUUGUUGCUGCUUAACAAGGCAUCAUACGUAUGCAACCUCUCUUGCGUUGACAACGAGCUUAGGAGCUUUUAGUCUUGCCUCAGGUAGAUGUGUAUCGACCAAUUCAACGCUAAGCACGCAGUGGUCUCUUAGUCUCUUUUUCUCCUCUUAGGUGUUUUUGUCUCCGUUGCCUUACACUUUGUCCUCUCCUACCCCCUCACCUACCAUGCCUACGACGUGAUGGUCUCUCUCUCUCUCUCUCUCUCUCUCUCUCUCUCUCUCUUACUUUUGCCUUUGGCGUCUCCUACCUCUGCCUCUUCACUUUCAUCAGUUGUUAUAGCCUCCAUCGCUUCCUUUUCCUCGAUAAGCUGGUCAGGGAGAGCGAAUAGGUGCAUGAGGGUUACAUAGACCAGCUCAAUCGCUCCUUCCACUUGCUCUUCGUCUUUAUGAUGUCAUGUUUCGUGGGGGAGGUGGCUUACAAGGCAUGGUGGUACUUGUCGGUAUCUAAGCGGGUGCCAUUCACGAUGGCAGGCAACGUCGUGGUGGGCGACGUGAUGGCAUACGCCCUAGAGCUGGCGAGUAACAUUCGAAAGCUCUUGAGCUUAUCAUCAGCGUGGGAGAGGUUAUGUGUAUACGUCACCCUACUAGGCAACAACGACUUGGUGCUAUUGUUGAUGGUCGUUUUCACGAUAAUGCCUCAUCUCGUCAUCGAUUGAGGUCUUUUAAAAAAAAAAAAAAUUUAAAUUACACAUGUCAUUAUAUUAAUGAUUUAUUGUGAGUUAGUAUGCUACAUAAGUAUACUCUAAUGCCGGUUAACUGGGAGGAGAUUAUAUGCUAUGUUUUUAAAAAUGUAUGAUUAUUUUAGAUACGAGUAAACCAUAAGAACUUAAGAAAUCAAUAAACAAAACCAUAUAAGCUAAAUCUUAAUCCUAAAUUAUAUAUGUUAUUAUAUUAAUAAUUUAUUAUGAAUUAAUAUGUUAAAUUUUAACAUCUGUUAACUUAGACUUGACGGGACAAGAUUACAUUCUACGUUUUUUAAAAUAUAAAAGUUAUUUUAGAUAUCAGUAAAUCAUAAAAAUUUAAAAUAUGCAUGACCAAAAUUACAUUGGUAAAUCAGAUAACUUUAACCCUAUCUUAAAUAGCAUAGCAUUUGCAUACUCCUUUCCCAUGGAUUGAUACGUUAACAUCUUCUCUCUCCCUUUUCUAACUUUUUCUUUCUCUGUUUAUACAAGGAUAUAUAUAUAGCAUUAGGAUCUUAUAGAGAAACAUUUAAUGUCAAUUCGUUCGCCUAUCUCACCCAGCUCGCCGUGUUCCGUUCCUCUGUUCCUGUCCAUUUCUGGUUGCCUCGUAGUUCCUGUCCAUUCCGUUCCUCGUUGUUUGUGCGUUCCACGUAGAGAGUGUUUUUGGAAGCUAUGAUUUCCUUCCUUUCCUACCUCCCUCGAGAUCUCUUCGUCUGUGAAGGUUGAAGCAGAUACACUUGCAGACGCGGAAACGGGAAUCAGAAACCCUCAGUGGCCGUCACUCUCUGAACCGACAGGACGAAGGGAGAGAAAAGAUGCUUACGUGCGUCCCUACUGCAGUACGGGUCGAGGACUUCGGAUCUGAGCUCACCUCGACUAUGCUCAUCUUCAACCUGAACUCCUCGCGUCGACAUGAUCUCUAUCGAACUCGCUCAUCAAGAAAUCUUGUUUUAGAUUCAGGUCAACUUUAUGGCUUUGGCCAUCUUCUCUGGAAAACAUACGUUAAGUCGCCUCAUUUCAUGCUGCAGGAUACAGAGAGCAGAAGUGUUCAUACAACUACACCACAUCUUCGCAGAUGCUCGUAUUGCUGAUUUCAAGUUUAAACAAACGAUACAAUCCAAAUGGAAGGAACCGAUUGGCCACGAGAGGAUGAGGCCUGCGAGGAGAGCCGACCAUCCCGUGUUUUCCUUCCAAUGGCCGAGAUUUUGUGUUUGUGUUGCAUGGCUGUGGUUUGUCCGCACGCUUUGCUGCUCCUUUAAAUGAGAUAGCUCCCUGGAGCAAGCAUGUUUCUCUGCCGCAAUCACCAGAGUUCUGUUCCCUCAGGUUUAACGGUAAUGGCCACCAUCAUCGCCGCCGUGCCAACUCCCACCAUUAUAAGCGCUGCCGUGACCAAGGGCACUGCUGGACUCUCACCGUCGGUUCUCGGUAUGCUUUUAGCUCAUUGAUUGCACGAGGACCAGUGGCAAGUAGUUCCGAGUCGGGAAUGCGUUGUUGCAGGUCUGCCUCGGAUUAGGACGGGAAGUGGAAGGGUGAGGUGCUCGUCGGAGGCGAAGCCAGUCCCCUUCUCCGGCGCGGGAAUGGGUGCGGCGCUCCUCUCCGCAGCAUGCGUCAUGGGGGCGUCGAGCCCGGUGCUGGCCCUGGUGGAUGAGAGGAUGAGCACAGAAGGGACUGGCUUGAGCUUGGGCAUCAGCAACAACCUUCUGACGUGGAUCCUCGUCGGCGUCUUUGCCCUCAUUUGGGCGCUCUACUUCGUCUACACCUCCACUCUCGAGGAGGACGAUGAGUCUGGGUUGUCCCUUUAAGCUCUCAACCGCAGAGACUGCCGUAGAAAUGAAAGCAUGGUUGCUUCAAAGACUGGUGCCAUAUUUAGUUCCUGUAUGACAAUUCUUGUUCUUCUGGAAAAGCCUUCUGUGUAGAAUGAGAGCUGAUAGGGAAUCUUUCUAUCUGGCCGCGAACUGGCGUGGAAGACAAUGGGGGUAUCUACCUAACGUAGAAGGUGAUCGUGGUUCCAUCCCAAAGGUUUCAUAGGUAUAAAAAUCCAUCAUUGAUACAUAAUAUAAAAAAAAAACUAUAAUCCCAACUCAAAAUUAAUAUAAGCAUUAGAAAGGUCGAGUCGAAAAUCCUCACCUUACACUAACAUAUCGUUAGGAUAAUAAGGAGAUCGAGUUCACUCAAGCCCUCUCUCGGGACAACUCUGAAAGUUCAGAGACCAUCUCAGAGUAAUCAUUAUUGGCUCUUAUUCAAUUCGUAUUUUUCAUCCAAAAAAAUUUUCAGGAUAAAAUCGUAUUGACUCCUAAUCCAUGUUAAUGAGUAUAAAAAAUACUAUUUUGAAUUUCAAAUGAAAGGGUUUGGCACACAAAAAUUAAACUAUCCAAGAUUGGUUGGAUAAUAGAACUUUGUGAGUUCAUAUAUUUAAUAUAUAUCCUAUAUUCUUGGAUUUUCUUGAACAAACAAAUGAAUCAUAUAUUCGAUUUUGAUGUUUUAAGCCAAUAAGGAAGAUUUUGUGCUUAUUAAUUGUAGUACUUUAGUAUAAUACACAAAUAUAAUCAACCAAUAAAAUCCAUUGUACUGUCACAUUAUAUGCAUGUAUGUACAUAUGUAUAAAAUAAUUAAGUUAUACGGUAUAUAUAAUCAACUUUGCUGUAUGUGUUGAUUUAAACGAAUAUACUUGUUUCCAUUCGCUGCUGUAUUCGAGUCUCUCUCCUCCGGUCUCGGAACAUCCCCUCUGCUUCUCUUCCCUCCUGUGCUGCGAAAGAAGCCGCCUCUCGACUUCCCCCCAUGAUUUCCUCGUCUGCCGUGGCCCGUCUCGGCUGCAUCCCGCCAGGUAUACCCUCCUCUCGUCUCAUCCUUCUCCUCCUUUUCGCCGCCACCGGCCCGAUUCCGGAAUGAAGGCACACAGCUUCGUCGUCUCCUUCCUGUUGUCUCUUUCUCUUGGAAUCUCCGGUUAUUGGGAUAGGUCCAAGCUAUCGAUGGCCAAUUCCACUUGGUUCCACUUGCUUUUGGUCUCGUUCGCUGAUGAUCCAACGACUACAUGGCUUGGCCUCGAUCGGAUUGGGUGUACCCGAUCCCGAUCCGGCGAACCUUUUUGUCUAUUGAUCGAGUACAUGAAGCCUUGAGAGUGAUAAAGUAAAUGAGAAAUAAACCGUAACUCGACUUUAGUUAUAACGUAAAGCAUAUUUUUUUAGUUCUUCUGAAGAAAACAUUCAAUUAGGAACGUUUUCAUGAGAAAAAUUACCUACCAACCAACCCAAACGUAACUGGGUUCGAUGAUCCUUUUUUAUCAUUCGAUUUGGAUGAAUCAAAACUAAGCUGGUGAAUUGUGUGUGUGUGCAUCUGCCUCAUUGCACAUGUAUUUCGUUGCAAUCCCCACUUUCUGCACCCUUUGAACAUGCUUUUGACGUUUUAACAGACUUAUUUCUUCCCAUAUGCCUAAUUAUUCUGAUCAGCCAAAUGGAAUUAAGAUAGACACACAGGUUAAAUGUAGAGAAAGGGUGUUGUUUUUAGAGUGUUUGAAUGGGGUUGGAGAGAAGGGGAGAUAGAAAAGAAGUUUUGAAUUUUACAUCAUUGAGCUCUCAACAGGCAUUCCAAGAGUAAUCCACUUGAGAAGGCAUGCUAAAUGCUCAAUGAUACCAUGCACGACUGAGAUGAGGUGAUAAUAGAUGUGCACCUAGAUAACAAAGAUGAUAUCAUAUCAAGUGUUUGAACAAAUGCCUAACUUUUAGCGUUUGGAUUUCUGCUAGAUCCUAAAGGAAACAAUAAUAAAGUGUUAAGUAUAUUUUGUUCAGUACUUGACUAUAAAUUAAGAAUAUAGCCAGGGCAUAAACUAGCCUGGAAGACUAUUUUUUUCUUGUCCAGACAGGGUUCAGCGAUCCAUUAUACUGUAUUAAGAUAUAUAUGGUAGCAGCUACAAUAAAUUCCUACAGAAUGGUUCUGAUCUGGAAAAAAAAUUCCUUUAGUUAAUUGCUUAGAAGUUGGCAUAAAAACCUCUAAAAGAGUGAGUAUUAGAAAUUUAGGAUAAAAAAAGGUGGAGUAAUGAAAUAAAACAUCCAUUAAAGAACUUGUGUACCAUUAAGUUUAGAGUUUUGUUUGCUAUGCGAUUGGAGAUUGUAAAAAGGCAUUGAUAAGGUAAUGUAACUGGACGUCUGAUGGUGAUUUGGAUCUGAAAUAUGAUAAACACUUCAUAAAUGAUACCAACAUUAGUGUUAAGCCAAAGUAUCUUAUGUAAUAGAUAUGGUUGUUGCCAUAUGCUAUUAAUCAGAAAAUAUAAAAUUAUGGGAUUAAGUGAGGAGAUGGCUUUUUAUUGGAAGUGAGGAUAUAAUAUUAAUGAGCUCCAAAAAUGCUAAAAAGAGAACAAAGUUUGUGUUGUAAUGUUAUUUGGUUCAAGUAAAGAAUGUCUAAAUUUGCAUUUAUGUUGUGUUCAGAAGUGCAAGGAAAAUUUUGGCACAGAAUAUAUUUACUAGGAAAGUUCUUGGGAGGAUCUAGAAAAGUUUGUUGGAAGGCUAUAAUAUUAACAAGAAUGGCCUUACAAUCCUACCCUAGAGCUAGAAGUGAAAUUGUUUUCUAUUAAUUUUAGUGUAGGGGCAAUUCAUUGGAGAAUAAUAUAAAGAAAUGAAUGUUAGCCUUGGUUUUCAAUUUAGGGCAUUGGACCUAUCCUAGACCGUUAUACGUACGAGUUGUACUGGCACACGAUGUGUCAGGAGGCCGAUAUGUAUUAAGUUUUGGAAAAUUUCUAAAAAAAGACCAAAAUAUAAAAAAAAGAUGUUACUGCUCGUUAUAAGUGCUGUAGUGAGCAUACCAGGUACUUGGGUAGUACAAGACCUAUAACAGGUGGUACAGGCCUUGGACUGUACCACUUGAUCCCAUGCUGGUAUGCUGUCGGACCAAUAAACACCAUCUGUACUGAACCAUAUCAGGUGGUGUUGCACACCUUAAUGUUAGCAACUCUUAUCUAUCACGUAUGGUUGGAGAGGACAAGAAGGAUUUAUAGAGGUCAAAGGCUUUUGGGCUGCACAAGAGAAAAGACUGCUUUCGGGCUACAUUAUAAAACACUUGAACAUCAAAAUGUGUGUGCUAUUCGGCUAUUAGAAUUUAGAACUCAAAUGCCAGGAAUUUCUACACCACAUUUGCAUCCCAUCAAUCUAUUACUAUCACUUCUUGAAUUGAGAUUAGAAGCAGAUCUCUAGUUCUCAACUUUACUAGAAAUUUUACAAGGUAUUAAAUGGUAAAUUAGGCAUUCCUAGUUCCUAUAGUCAAGGAUAAAAAUUUGGACCAAUGCCAAUAUGGAGUGUUGGUCGAUCUGUUAUAGUACUAAUACUGUACAAUGUAUCCAGUGUUGGUGUGGUCGUUUACAGUCAUCACUAGCCAGAUCAUAGUGAGUGAGUGUGAAAAGAGAGAGCUAUGCAAGUAGGAGCAGUAAAGUGGAGGAGUGGCUGGAGAAGGCUUGACAACACGGAGUAAAGUCGAGGAGUGGAUGGAGACGGCUCUGAUGUGACAGCAUGGAUAGAAAGGAGAAGAAUGAGGAGGAUGAGAUGUAGCAGCUAGAGAUAAGAGGAGGCAACAACAAAGCAACAACAAAGAGGGGAGGAAGAUGAGAAGGACGGAACAUGGAUGAGAGAGAGGUGGAGGCGUGGAAGAGAGGAGGACGAGAAGCAUGCAACAUGGAGGAGCGAUAGCAACAGGGAAAGCAGAAAAUAAGAAGUAAAAAAGAAGAGCAAAAUACAAUUAAGUAAUAUACAUUGGGUAUAAAUACCAGGUAGUAGUCUUACCAUCCGAUAUAGCUGGGUACAGUCAACUUACCACCCAUAGAUCUUGGUACAAGAAGCUUAAUGAGCAGUAAGCUUGGUUUGGACUAGGUUGGGGGAAAUUGUCUGGUUCAUGUACUAGUGAACCAUCAACCGGUAGAAACUGGUUCUUACCGACCACUAAAGUCAAAACUGUGAUCCCUGCCUUCUAACACAUUUUCUAGAUUAGAGGAAAUCCAUGUUAUCAACUGCUGUUUGUCAUGGUUAGAGAGGAUUCAAAAGAUAUUUAGAGGUCAAAAUUCUCAUAAGAGAAAAGACUGCUUUCAGCUACCCUAUAAAGCACUAGAACAUCAGAACUGUACACCAUUGGGAUUUAGGACUCAGGCACAGGAAUUUCCAUGCUAUGUUGACAUUAAAUCAACCCAUUAAAUCAACUUCACUAUGAACAUAACAGUGUGUUGAGAAGUAAUUUUGACUUUUUUUAGUUUGCAUAGUCUUAAAUUCCAGUUUUCUAAUAUAGUCAUCAUUGUUGUUCUCUGGAUUACCAGACCGAACAGGAUUUAUGCCUGCAUAUUUGAUCUCACUUUCUAUAGUUGAGUGUGAAUCAAAUCGAUGACCUAUUUUUAGUUGAUCCAUGUUCAAUUAUUGUUGAUUGGAUCCCAUGAUAUCAUUCUUUCAGUGUUUUCUAUUUGAUAGAUCACAGUAGGAGCUUAGUACUUGGUGUGUAGGUGGUGAGUAAAGUUCUAACGCGGCCAUGUUUCCCACUAUGAAAAAUAUGAACCACUUGUCUAUUGACUGUACAUCAGACUAUGACUUCUCAGCACAGAAGAGGGAAAUAAUAGUAAGAAGCACGCUUCUUUCCAAAACAUCUCCUUCAUCUUUAUCUUUAACUUUUUACUAUGAAUUUAUUAACCUUUUAUCUUCUCCAAUCUUAUGUGUGCUACCCCUUUGUGUUGAAAUUGAUAAUGUUAAUGGAACCUCAACUUUAUUACUGUGCUUCAAUUGGAAGGUUUUCUUCCAUCUUAGUUCCUUCACAGUCCUUUUUGAAAUAAUCUUGGCUUUAUAUAGUGCCAUAUGUUUCUCAUGUGUAAAAUUUUAUCAUUGCUUUGCUGGACGGGUUUUGGAGCUGAACACCUGUAUAUCCUGAUAUAAAUUUGAUAUACCAAUGUUCUUAGCCAUUGAUUGAAAAUUUCGUUAAAUUUAUACUUCAUGGAUUUACUUGAAAAUGAACUUUAAUUUGAUUUUCAACAUAUUCUGCAGAGUGUGAAAUGAGUAGGAAAGAGCUUUAUAGACCCAUUAUUCAACAUGGCCUAGAAUGAAUAUAAAAAAUAAACAGAUAGUUGUAUCCUGGGGCUUAAUAUGCUGUGAACUCGUGCACUGUGAAGCUAAAUUGGACCUUUAAGAAAGUGCUACUAAAUAGCUCCCCUCAGACACCUGCAUUUUUUGUUGUUGUUAAAUUAACAAAAUUCUGCUUUGCAUUUAAUACAUGUUUAUUGAGACUCUGUGUUGCAAUUAAAUUGAUCAAUGCCAACACAUCUUAAGCACUUUGAAGGACUUGAAUUUGGAAGUUGAUUCCUGUUGAAGAUUCUUUGGUACUUAGGAGGAACCAUGCCAACACUUCUUCGGCACUUUGAAGGACUUGAAUUUAUAAGUUGAUUCCUGUUGUACAUUAUUUGGUACUUAAAAGGAACCAUGCCAACACUUCUUAAGCACUUUGAAGGACUUGAAUUUAUAAGUUGAUUCCUAUUGCAGAUUCUUUGGUACUUAGAAGGAACCACGCCGACUCGCAUCAUUUUCUUGUGUCAAACUUUUCACCACCAAGAGGGAUCUUGAAACGGAUACUUUGUCGAAGUUUGAUCUUCACUCAGAAGCAUAACAAUCAGAAGGUAAACACAACAUUUUGUGGUUAUUGUUUUGUCACUUCUNNNNNNNNNNNNNNNNNNNNGUGGUUAUUGUUUUGUCACUUCUCUUAACUCUUUGUGCCUAUUUUAGGUUCUAUGUUACCAAAAGCAAGAAUUUCCUGUGCUAUCAGAAAGGUAUGUUUUGAGCAAGUUGCUCAUCAGUAUGAAAUUAUCACUAAUCACACCAUGCACUUAUAAUGCCAUUUUCAUUUGUUGCUCGCAUGAUAUUUUAUUUGCUAAAGUAUAUUUGUUUCUUUGUUCACGUUGAUACUUAAAUAAUAUUAUUUUCUAAUGGUAAUUCCAUAUUACUAAAAGUUAAGCCUAUUGAUACUUGAAGGUCCAUCGAAAAGGUAUAUGAUUCCUUGGCUGAACAUCUUCUUUCAUCUUUUGCAAAGGUUCAAGAUAUCAAUUCAAAGUAAGUUUAUUUACUUGUUACAGUAAUGAUUUAAUUAUUGCAUGAUACCAUUUAUACAUUGAGUUUGUUGAUUUAUUAUGUUCAUUAUUUACACAUAAAUUUAGAUCAAUGCUUGUAUCUUUUACCUUGAAUAUAAUUGAUUAUUAAUGUACAAUAAGACCAACAUGGUUUAGGGUUUCAACCUUAACUGACUGUAGUUACCGGGAUCCCUUUACCCCUCUUACUGCUUUUAGAAUUAUGACCAAUGUUCCUUUUGUUAUUCAUGAUACCUUGUAUUUAGGACCACACCGUUAUGCUUUUGAGAACAUAUAGGGAUUCACUUUUGUCAAUGUUAUUCAUGACUCAUUCGUGACCAUCAAUAAGCAACAGUCUGAGAAGACUUCUUUCGUUGCCAGCCCUCAUGAUGUCUGGAACGAUGGGUACAAUGUUGAUAAUAGUGAUGAUGUUGGACAACGAUCCCAUGUCUUGCAACACAAAGGGGUGGACAAUGAACAAAGGGUCAAGAAUAUAGUUAUACCAUCCAAGAUAAAGACUGUAGUGUCAGAUCCACCAUAAUCAUUUUUAAGAGAAUUGAACAAUGACAAUGGAAAGACACCUGAUGACUAUAAGAAGAAAAAAGUGAGUACAGCUGAAAUCAAGUUUGAUAGGUCCUUGUGAUUGCAGCUUUUCCACAUGGAUUUUAUGGCAACACUGGUGUGGCAAUUGGCCCCAAAUUGUUGAAUUGGAGUCUUCAUAUAAUCCAUGACAACAGCAUGUUGAAAUGGAGGUAGCUAGGCACACCAGCAAAGGUUCAAAGUUUCAAAUCUAUUGAUUUGAAACUAGAGUCUCAGCUUGAUAGUCUACAAUCAACCAGUCGAAUUUGCUUUAGGUUGAAGGGCAGUUUGGGCCAGAAGAAACAAUUAGUUCAGUAGGUGCUGAAGUUUCAUUCUAUGGGUCCUGAAAACAUGUUGGAACAAAAUUUCUUAGGCAAAUGCCAAGAAGUCAUUUUCAGAAUUCAUUCUGCAGGUACCAAAUUUGUUUCCUUCUGUUCUGUUUGCUUUUCAGUUCACUGUUGAUUUAUCUUAUGCAUUAAAGGGGUGAGCUCCAUUUAGCUUUAUUGUAAAACCUCCUGACUCUGAUAAUCUAUACAAGAUUAUAUAUUACCAAAGCAGAAGAGAUGGCUGCUAACAGAAAUUCUUCAAUAAAUAUCUUAUUCUACGAUGUUGUGCUUCUGAAAGCAUUUGCUUCACCUAAAAUUAUAAUCUUCUGGUAUUGAACCUGAAGUAACUUCUCGUGGAUUGCAGGUACAUUGUUGGUUUGGCUGGUCCACCUGGUGCAGGCAAGACGACCCUAUCAUCUGAAGUAGUCCGCCGUCUAAACAAUCUUUGGUCCCAAAAAGCUACUGGAAAGAAUUCUGUUUCACCUCUUGAAUUUGCUAUAGUGCUUCCCAUGGAUGGAUUUCAUCUCUACUGUUCCCAGCUGGAUGCUAUGGAGGUUAUGCUUCUGUUGUUGACUGGAAUUUAUGUUCAUUCAUCUUUUGUCUCAAUACGUAGCAAAAGCCCAAAUUGACAUGAUCUUAAACUGAUAGAAUCCUGAGGAAGCUCAUGCAAGAAGAGGAGGUAUGAACUAUCAAAUAUAUUUACUAAGUUUGAGGUUAUUUUUGCAAAAUUUUGACCUUGAGAUUGAUGAAAUCAGCCCCAUGGACAUUCAAUCCAGAACUGCUCUUAAAAUGUCUGCAUUCUUUACGGAAUGAGGUAGAACUGCAACUUAUGCACAUCACUUCUUGGAUUAAAUCAAUCCUUUAUAAUUAUCACUUGGGCCUUUUUAUGUAUGCUAAUAAUUUGUCCAUUCCAUUUAAAGAUAUUAUGGUUGUAUAAUUCUUCAGAGCCCUGUUUAGAUUUAAAUUGAAACACAAAGUUAAAUGGUGGUCUUCAUGCUUCAAUAUGCUCAAUGUGAAGAUUGUUUUCUCAGGGAUCAACUUAUGCUCCAUCAUUUGAUCAUGGUGUUGGUGAUCCAGUGGAAGAUGAUGUAUUUGUAAGUUCUGAGUAAGUAAAAUAUUCCCUUUUGAAUUUACUGGCCUAUAGUUCAAACUCCAAACUAUCCUUCUGUUCAAUUAAACCAUGGUCUAUGAAUAAUAUAAAUAUGUUAGGUUCCUUUAUUUUGUUAAACACUGUUAUUCUUGAUUGUGAUGGCAUGUAUUUUGGUUGCUCUUUUUCCUCCGGUCUGGUAGCUUGUCCAAGUUGUAUUGCAUUAUUGUAUGUACCUGUUCCCAAUGUGUGUGUUUGCAUAUAUACACACAGAUGAUACGUUCAACAGGUUUCUUAAUACGUAUAGAUCUUCAAUGUCAAUGCAUCCUGUAUUGAACAUAUCAUUUUCUUUUGGCAGGCAUAAAGUAGUCAUUGUAGAAGGCAAUUAUUUGUUCUUGGAAGAAGGAAUUUGGCAAGAUAUUUGUUCCAUUUUUGAUGAGAAAUGGUAAGGUUGUCUAAAAGGCAUCAAAUAUAUGAUUUUCUUUAAACAUUAAUUUAAAAAUAAGUUGUAGACAGUUGGUUAUAUCUGAGGUUUAGUUGUUGCUCAUGUACUUAAAAAGAUAAUUUAUGAUAUGUCUUUUCUGAUUGGAUUCUCCACUCAGUAAACAUUGGUUGAACAUAGUUGAGAGUUGAGAGAGUAUCUUGAAUGACCAUGGGCUCAACCUAAGCCUUGAUUUUAUGGUGUAGCUAAUGCUUUUUAUUAGAUAUCUUGCUUCAGUCUACAGAACAUUGAUCUGAUAUAUUAUUCAUUUUAGAUUUUACAUGUGUUAACUUAUUUAUAUCUUUCUUCCGAAGGUUCCUUGACAUUGACAUCAAUGUAGCAAUGGAACGGGUUCUAAAAAGACAUAUAUCUACAGGUUAGUUAUCAGCGUAUUGGGCGAUUCAUGCUUCACUCGUUGGUGGUGUCUUAUCUUUCUCAUAUUGUUCUACAGGAAAAGAGCCAGAUGUUGCAAAAUGGCGGGUAAGAAUAUUUCUAGUAUUUUUCCUCAGACAGUUUGCUUUUCAAUUCCUAUCCCAAUAGAAUUGUUGGAAAUUUAGAUAACUCAUAAGAGCAAAUAAAAAAUGCCAACUAAUGUAUCAAUGUCCUUGGAUGCAUGGCCAUAUGACCCUUGGUAAUCAGGGACAGUAACUUAGCAAGGAAUGAGAUGUAGGGUAUAACAUUUAGACAUCUCAAGUACUGGAUGCACUCAGGACGGUUGACUUAUUUGGCAUGAAAUAUGAGUCCUCUUAAAUCUUUAUAUCUGAUUCUGUUGACACUCGACACUACUCUUGAACCUAUUUCAAAUUUGUUUGAGAUCCCUUGCAUGUAAGAUAGUUGAGGUUUGGAGCAGGCUUUACAGAAUGUAUGAAUUAUUGAAGAUUUUUAGGCAGUAAAUUCCUGUCUCACAUUCAGAUUUAGCUAGAGGUAAUAGAUCAACAGGAAUGUGUUAAAUGCAACAUGUGAAACAUUUGUGUUGAUAUCUAUGUUUUCAUUAUUUGAGUUUGUGAAUUCGCUACACAUUCUUUCUGUUUACUUCUCUUCCAACUUGCAAUUAACAAGUUUCUGAACUGCUGUAUUUUCUUCAUCAAAACAGCAUUCGUUUUAUAAAUUUUAGUCUGUUUCUUGUUGUGGCCAAACUCCUAAUUUAUCAGUUGGAAGCAAUCAAAAGUAUUUUCUUAUAGAUCUUUCCAAUAUUUUCUUGAACUAAAUACACUUUUGGUUUUAUUCUGAUUAAACCAGAUCGAGUAUAAUGAUCGACCAAAUGCAGAGCUCAUAAUGGGAUCAAAGAAAAAUGCAGAUCUUGUAAUCAAGUCAGUGGACUUCUAAUUGUGUCAUGCAUUUGUCAAGAGGAAACAAAUCAAAUAAGGCUGGUGUUUCUUCUGGCACAAAAUAAUGGCUGCCAUGUGCACAUUCAAACCAUGUUUCCAUAGUCAAUAAAUUGCAUAAGUUACAUUUUUUUUCUAAUUCCUAUCGUGUACUUUAAGUCUUUAUUAUUAGUCUGGAAAAAAUGUUAGCACAACUGAAGUUUGCGGAGACCAAUCGAAUGUAUUGACACACGAUAUAUUGGAUGUAUGUAUCGAGUUAUAUCGAGGUGUAUCGAUGUAUCAUAUUUAUUAUCCACAUCGAAUAGUACAUUUUAGUAGGUCAAAUCUUGCAAAUAAUAGAAUAUAGUAAUCAAUAUACUUCGAUCUGAAUCCUCCAAUCCGAGAAAAUUAAAUGAAUUGUGGUUUAAUUUCUAACUUUUUAAACUAAACCGCUUAAAAUAAAUAUCCGAUUCAAAUCACAGUAAAUGUUACUAAGUUCUACCAAUUUAAUCAUUGGCCAACGCUCACAUCGCCCAUUCACAUAUUUGUGGGCUCGUUGUGGGCUUCACGGGUUUCUCCAAUCAAAAGGCAGCUUGGGGCUUCGGGGAACCUAUUUCUCGAUCCAAUUAUGGCCUGAUUCCCAACUUAUAGCACGCCGCCGGCCUCCUCCGUCAAACCCUCCAAACAGCCGACGCACCAGCCGCCGCUCCAGCCACCUCCGAGCAUCCUCUACCAGUCUCUCCUCACCAUCGAUCUUCCUCCGUCGCUCCCGAGCGAGUUAUCGUCGACUCCCACCGCCGGUCCGUCCCUCCUCCAUCGAGCAAAUUGAUCUUUGUUUGGUAACACGUGGUUGAACGACUGCAAGUUCUGCUAGGUUCUAAGAGUUCUUAUAAUUCUUGAUCCUGUUGUAACUUUGUGAUUGCUAGUUUCUUAACCUUGCAUCUGUGCCUGUUGUUCCUACAGCAAGCUGGCUGCUUUCAGUUUUCUUGUUGUGGGAAUUUUCAAUCUAUGGAUACAUUCAAGUAGGUGUAUGGUAGCAACCAUUUAAUUUGCGUUUGUUGUCUUAAAAGAAAAAAGGAAAUGUACAUCCGUUUUGUUGGUAGCCUUAUAAGAUUGUGUUCUUUACUGUUAAAUAAGUGGACUGGAAAUAAAUGGCGACAAAUUUGGAGUUCAUUUUAUGCACCCUGGAAGACUGAUCUCAUUCCAUGUAUGGUCCCAAUGUUGCAUCUCUAAAUUCUGUCAGUAGGGCUUCCGAUGUGGAUCAUAGUUAGAUGUCAAAAAGCACGAAAUCUGCAUGCUUAGUGUCAUUGUAACUUCCAAUUUGAAUCAUACUUGUAUGGAAAACAGCAUAAACGAGUGCUGGAUGAUAAAUGUUGAAAACCUAUAUAUGUCCAUACUUAUCUUGAACUUGAUUCAUAUAAAUAUUUGUGCUGUCAAUUCAAUGAUUUGAGGAGGCCAAAUUAUAAGUAGCACCACCACCACCAUUACUUAAGGUUCAAGUAUGAAAUUGGAAAUUGUUAUCUGCAGAAUGCUCGAGAUCUUCCCGUCGUUUCCGUUUGUUAAGAUGUGCAAAAAGACAUAUAAACUAUAAAGAGUUUAUGCAAUUCUUUGUUGCGUUAUCUUCUUUAGAUUUUUAAUUUGAGAAGCCAGUUUAUUUUUGAAUAAAUUAUCAUUAUAGUUUUCAUCUUGGAAUAGAAAAUUUUGCCUUCUCAUGCCUUUUUUAUAAUUUAAAUUCUUUUGUAGAUUUUUAGGAUUGGGCACCCAUAGCUUAUUUCAUUAUGGCAAGUGAAGACUCUAAAGACUUGCUGAAGAAUGUGGAUUGGAAGACAGUGGGCAAUGCUGUCAAUAGUGAUUCACUUGGACCAGUCACUAAAAAGCGGCUUCCUAAGAAAAUUAGAGAAGUCCCUGACUAUUAUUUUCUUCCACGAAGGUCAUUACCUUCUUCUAUUGCAAUUUAUGGAGCUAUCUGCGCAGCUGGAGUUGGAGCAGGAAUGCUGCUGGAGGUUUGGAUUAACAAAAAGAUUAAAGGUACUUACUUGUUGUACGCAAAGUUAAGAUACUUCAAAUGCUUUCUUUAUGUGAUGUGCAAUUUACUAAUUGCCACAGUUGAGAGAACUUACAUGAUCAAUCUAGAAUUAAAAUGUCUGAUCUAAUGAAACCAUCUACGACAACGAAUGAGGGAUUGCACUGCAUCCUUAAAUCAACUGGUCUUCAAUAGUCUAGAUUAAGUUUUUUAGUGUUGCAUAUUUUAAUGCUUAAUUGCUUCCAAAAUGUAGCUUUUAUAAUUAUAGAUGCAUGAUCCAUGUUCCAAAAACCCGCCAGAUCAGCUCAAAACUGGAUGAAUAUUUGUUAUCCAUUGGUUUAUAUGCUCUGGGUCAUUGUUUAAAAUUUCAUAUAAUGGACCUGUAUCUGACCCCUGGCCUGACUGGUAGCGGUCGUGUACAAACCUAUGUAUCGACACAUAUGCUGGUACACACUGUGAUACCAGAAGAGAGAGGAGGUGAAUACCUUGGCCAGCAAUGGGGAUGCUCACACCCCGACAGGGGUGGUCAGCAGUGUGUGUUGCUAGAGAGCUCAGAAGAGAUAGGCGAGAGAGAGAGAGAGAGAGAGAGAGAGAGAGAGAGAGAGAGCAGGGCGCACCAUGGUCAAACCUAAAAAAAGAUAUGGAAAGCACAAACGAAUGAACCAGACCAGCCUGCUGGGAAAGGGGUAGUCACCGUGUCCUGGGUCACCACCAGAUCGGUAAAUUCCAUCCUGUAUGUACCAGUCCAGGUGAAAUCAGGAACCUUGCUCCUGGUUAGCAGGUUAGCACAUUAAGUGCUUGUGCAUUUGUAAACUCCAUGAAUUCAAGAAUGAGAAUAUUGUUAAUUUUUUAUCUCAUUUACUCUUGCGACUUGGCAACUCAUUGAGAAAUCAGCCAAAGUAUUCUGGUUAAGCUUCUGACUUUGAAGUUUGUAUGUUCUACACUCACUUUUGCUAAAGAUAUAAAUAGGGUAUUUAGAAUAUUUAUUUAUCUUUUGUUGUCUUUAUUAUAUGCAUUUUAAAUAUAGGAAAAGAAUAAAGAUAUGAGAUACUCACUAGUCAGAGAAAUUUGGUGCUCUUCCGUGCAUUUGCUAAAUCAAACUAUUCUGACAUGCAGAGGAUGGUGGAGUCCUUUGGGAGAGGGACAAAUUCUGAAAGCAAUUACUCAGAUAUACAUAGUUGGUUAUCCUACUAUAAAAUCAGCAAUUCCAGCUAUUACUGCAUCAGAAGCAAUAAGAAGUUUCUGUUUUCUCCUCUGGCAUUGAGCGAUUUGCAAUGACCUUUAUGGUUCUGUACUUCUUUGGGUUUUCUAGAUAUUCUUUCUUUGAAGAUCCUCAUUGUCCGAGCUUUUGUUGCGUGUUCUCUAGGUCCUUUUUCUAGGAGUUUGUUUGUACUUUUACAUCAAAUUGGCAAAAAGUUUUGAUGUUAUUGGAGAGUGUUGAUAAUGAAAUUUUGAACGCAAGUAUUUUAUGUGAACUUAUUUUAAACUUGUUUUAUGGCGGCAGGUUUCCUGUUGUCUAUUUGAGCUUGCUAAUUUACUCUAUUUUUGUGUUUUUUUCAAUUGAAAUCCAGUGCAGGAUAGAUUUUUGGUGAUUCUACUUUAUCGUUUUCUUUUGAUUUCUCAGAAGCAUUAUAGGAAUCUCAACACCAAGCAAAAGUUCUUACUCUGUAAAUUCCACAGGGAAAGCAGUUAUAUCAUCGAUCGUAGCAGGAAAGAUUACCAGCAUUACAAUGAGCAAUUAGCUCUCAAGUUUUCCUGUCCGGUUGCAGCAGAAUCCCUACAUGCAUGGGUAAGCCGUCUUUGUCUUGUUUGAGGUAUAUUUGUUUUUGGCUACGUAGAAUGGAUCGUCAACAUAAACUCCAUAGAGGAAAAAGAAAAAGAAAAUUCAAUAUACUAAUAUCAAGUUUGGAUUCUGAUACAUUGGGAUGGAACAGCAGACACCAAAGUCAGGCUUUGGAUCCAAUGUCUUCAUUUCCAUCACUUAAAAAGUGGAUGAUGGUUUUCUAAUCGAAUAAUUCGAUCUAGUUUUUGAAAAUUACGGUGAUCCAAAUUUUAUUUUGUUUUAUAAUUUUUAACUGUUUCAAAGUCAAAAUUGGUCAAAAUUGACUAGAUCAAAUCAGCACAUACGAUUUCUCAUCGACGUUUGGAGAACCACGCCGAACGAAGCAAUUUUUGUAGGGUGAAUCGGUCCGGCUCAGUCGAUUUUACGGUUUAAAUGGGCGUGAACCGUAAUGGGUCUUAGCAAACUGAGGACGACGUGCUGGCUGCCCAUUCGGUCCUUUCCUAAUACACCGCCCGGUUUCGAUUUAAGUCUCUGUCUCUCUCUCUCUCUGGAGAUGCCACCAUGUUAUCGUCGGCGGCGUCCCUCGCUUCCAAACGCCUCCCCGCGAUCUGUCGAUUUCUCCGCUCCUCCUCUCCGGUAGGCUUCUCUCCGUCGAUGCCUCUUCCAAUAACCAUUAUUUCUCCUUCGUUUGUCAUUUGGGAUCCCUAAAUGUUGGGUUGCCUUCCAGGUUGCAUUCGCCCCCGCCAGAUCUUUCUCCACUGCUUUGAACUACGUGAGGCCAUUUGAUCUGACAUUUAUUUGUUGAUUUUUCUUUCUGUUACGCCGGUUGGGAUCAAUUCGUGGUAAGGUUGGCAAAUUUGUGUUCUGUCAGCACCUUGAUUCGCCUGACAGCAAUUCGGAUCUUCCAUGGGACUUUAGUGAAGCAAAUAAGGAAAAGGUACGGACUUUUCUCUUGUCUUUGUAAUCUAUGUUUCAAUCCGUGAGUGUUGGGAUACUUUUUGUGCUUCUGUCAUCUUAUCUAUUUUAAGGCAAAGUUGAAGUAAUUAGAUUCUUCCAUAGUACCUAUUUUUUCCUUAAAUUUCGGCUGUGACUAGGUUGGUGGUGAAAUUUAAAGCUUUCAUGUUGCUUAUCUUUAAUCUUCGAUAAAUGAAGAAAAUGCAAGGGGGCAUAUCUACUAUUACAUCUCUUCAUUGUUGAACCAACAUGCCGAGACUGGUUUAAUUUCUAAAUCUUGUCAUCAUCUAUUCUUUUGCAACUUAUGCAUGUUUCUUCCUGAAGAGAAUGAGCCACUAGGUGUCCAACAGAUGAUCAGGAGACUGCUUAGGAAAAAAAAUUAGAAUAAAAUUGGGGGAGAUUAACUAUGUCUUUUGGAUAAGUAAUAUGUGUGUGAACUGGUAAAAUGUGGAGCAAGGUAUCAUCUUGUUUACAUGUUAAUUUUUUUAAAACUCAUCUGUGGAUCACCUUUACCUGCAAUAAAUAGAAAGCUGCAAGAUGUUUAAUAAUAACAAGUGGUAGACUAAAGGAUGUUUGAAGGCCCCGGAGGAUCAUGGUGGGCAACUUGGAAUGGUAUCUAGGUUGAACUCCAUUUACCUUUCUAAAGCUUGUGAAAAAUUACCAUGAGGCUUGGAAGAACAGUUUAAAGUGAAUGGAACCUAUUAUUGAAAAUUGUUGUUCUGUUGAGAUGAAUUAUAGGGCAUAACAUGAUUUGGUAGAUAAUUAUAUAAGUCAUACUUUCUGGACUGUCUUAAUUAUAUUCAGAUGUAAAAAAAAGGAAUACAGAAGUCAAAGAAAGUUGGGGGCAACUUAAAUUAGGGAUGAUUCUGAUGAGUAAAUAUGAUGAGAAUACGAAACAUGGUGCAAUGAUAGUAGUAACUUUAUAAGAGAGUUCAAAGUGGUACAAUGCACCAGAGUCUGGCAUAGUAGUCUUGGAGUAGAUGUAGUUUGAAGCUUUAUAAAAAAACUAAAGAAGAACGUAGAAAUUGAACAGAAGAAGGCAUUUUGUUCCUUUUGGUUUUUAGCCAUAAGAGGAAGGCAUAUGGGUUUCAACUUCCUGUCUGCAUUCAUCAUCCUUGUGUUAGAUUAUCAUUGGAACAAAUUGUGAGGCAAAUUGCAAACUCCUGUAACCUUCAUAUUCACAAUGAUGAUACAUAAGAAAAAUGAUUCCGAGUUAAGUGUACUCCAAUGGACCCUCUAGGUUCAAAUUAGAAAUAUAUCAUAAGCAAUCAUUAGUUGCUCUUGAGUUUGAAUUUUGUGAUGUUACUCCUCGUGUAUGAUUUUUGCUCUCAUUGUUAUCUUUCUUCAGCUUUGGCAAUAAUGGAGAUCAAAUCUCUUUGUAUCUAGUAUAAUAUUUAAGACUCAGAGGUCAUCUCCAUGAGUAAAUGCAGGUCAAGGAGAUACUCUCCCAUUAUCCUUCCAACUAUAAGCAGUCUGCUGUUAUUCCACUGUUGGAUCUUGCACAGCAGCAACAUGGCGGAUGGCUACCACUGUCUGCAAUGAAUGUGGUAUGUUAAGGCUCUCGGAAUCCGUGAAUAUAGUUCUUUUAGAUAUCCUUAUCUGACCUAAUUUUUAAUUGAUAUUAUUGCUAUUUUUUUAUGAUGAUUAUGGGCUAUUAGUAAGAUUCAUCUUUACCUAUUCGUUUAGCGCACACACACACACACACACACACACACACACACACAUAUAUAUAUAUAUAUAUAUAUAUAUAUCAGGGCUAUUUUCUUUUACAACCAUAUUUGUUUUUGAAGAAGAAUACCUUUGUGUUUUAACUUUAGAAACUGAAUCUUAAUGCUCGAGCAAAGAGCACCAUCCAUUGAGGCAUGCUUGACAACAGUGGUCCUUUAAACUCAAAUAAUAUUGUUACUCUUUUGUAGCUAGAUGUAUUGUUACUAUUUAGUUGGUCAUUGAGGAGAUAUCUAGAUGUUACAUAUGAAAUAUUUAGAUCUUCAAUAUGUCUAAUUUGAGGUGCACCUCUGAACACAUCAAAGUGUUGCAGUACAUUUGAUCUCUAGCACCUUAAAAAUCUUACUUAUCUAGCUUAUUGCACAACGAGGUCUUCAUCUUAUUUUCCACCUAUGUUCCAUGAGACAAUCAUAGGCUUCGAAUUGUUUUAUUCAUUUAUUUAUACACAAUCACCUUAUAUCUCUGGUUGAUUUGCCUCAGAGCAAUUUGAUAUUUUGGUUUUUAUCAAGCUGCUGAUAAUAGCUCCACAGGUCACUUUCAUCAGUAGGUUUUCUUCUGAUGUAAUAAGGAACUUGGCUUCAAUCCUUCAAUUUUGAUAUAAUCUUCCCUUCUCAUUAUCCUUGUUAAGUUAGACAAAAGAACAACUAGAAAUAAUACUUAAGUGAGCUAUACGUUAAAUAAAGAAACUAGUUUCUAAGGCCUAUUAUGCUUUGUAGUUAUCAGCUGUUUAUUUCUAUUGGUUCAUGUAUUAGCUCGGCCUGUUCUUAUUCAUAUUUCAUAUACACUGAUGGAAAGCAUCAGAUGUCAUAUUGUUAAUUCCAAAAAUAUGGUAAGUUAAUGUUACUUCAUGUUGGAAUGAUUUGGCUGGACCUGUGUGAAUGCAUUCUAUUAGCAACUUAAAUUUUUAGGUAGCAAAAGUGGAACUGGGAUAAAAAUCAACAACCAGAUUGACUGGAUCAUAUGGAUUAUGGAUAGAAGUAUAAUUUAAAAUAAAAAUGGAGAAAAUAUAGAAAAUAAAAUAAUUUAGAAAAUAGAAAGAAGAUAAGAACACAAAAACGAUUCUAAAUGUCAUCUGAUUGAUCCUUACCUUUUGAUUGGCCAUUUGUUGAAGAUGAAAAAUUUUCAAGUGUGAGUUCAGUCAACAUUUCACAUUCAUAAAUGGGAAACGGAGGUAACUAUUAUAAAAAUUUGAACUGCAUCUUUUUAUUAUUUAAUUUUGUUAUCAUUAACUUUAAUGUUAUAUUAUUUUACUAAGCAUGAACAAAAAUAAUGUUUUACUGUUUUAUAUAUUGUUCUCAAUUUUCUAAACAUUUUAUCAUAAAAAACAUAAUAGUUUUCUUUAAUAAAAGAUAAAUUUAAAUAUAUAAAUAUGACAAUAAAAUUAAAUAAUAUAUAAUUAAAUAUAUUUAUUUCGAUAUAUAAUCUAUAACUUAUUAGUUAUACUUAAAUAGUUAGGAUUUAGUUGAGUACUAGGCUUGGCCUAGUCUUCUGCUUGUGGCUUGAGAAAAGUGUGCAGGUAAGCUAUGCUGGCAGUGAGCAGAUGAUACUUGAAUACCAAAGCAAGCGAUGAUUUAUUGAUCACACUCGGAUCCUCUCCCUUCUCCCCCCUCCUUUGGUUUCCCCUUCUCUGAUACUCCCAUCUGUCUCUCAUAGGUUGCAAAGCUAGAAUUACUAUCAGUAUUGGCUAGGUGCCAAGGCUCAAUAUCAAUUGGUUCUGUUGGUUCAAACCCGAUCAACAAAAUUAAAAUUUUAAAAUAAAAUAAAACCCAUAAAAAGGAGUAAAGUCUCAAAAUUAGAAAAAUAUAAGAGAAAUGUUAUAAGCUUCUCUAUAAGUUUUCAUGAUCUUCUUCAAUUGAAUUUAAGGAAAUAAAGAACUGACAAUCCUCCAUAUGUACCACCAGCCUAUAUAUGUUACAUUGACAUUUACUAUGUACCUAUUCUUGAGAACAGACAUCUUUGAACAGUAUCCAAUAGGAGUCAAUUAUGUGGCUUGCUAUAUCCAUUUUAAUAGUUGGCCUCUCACAGAAUUAUUAGGGGCAAAAUUUAACUACCUCAUAAAUCACGAUCGUUGUUUAAAAGUUGCUAGGGCCAAAGGUGCCACAAUUAGCUUCUGGCUCAAUUGUGCUUAUACCUCUCUUAGGAUUUGGAAAUAGUACCAAGACAAUGAAUGGAUAGGAAUUGAUAGCAGUGAAUAAGGUUAUAAUGAUGUUAUAAGUUCUACCCUGUUUUGUCUGUUCAUUUUAUUGUUUUUGUAGUUUCACUCAGUCCAUUCAUGUGAUCAACAACUUUUGAUAUCUUGUUCUUUUGCUAAGUUCAUUCUAUUUCAGCUCAAGAGCUUCAUUUGUUAAUUCUGUUUGAUAUUUGAUGUUUCAGAUUGCUAAAGUUAUAGAGGUUGCUCCUAUUCGUGUGUAUGAAGUUGCAACUUUCUAUUCGAUGUUUAAUCGGACAAAGGUGCACCAGCCUUGCUACAUUUGAACUUUUCAAUAUGUGAUAUAUAUUCAGUUUGAAGUUUUGUUUCCUGACUAUGAGUUGCAUUUGUUUGUGCAUAUUCUGAUAUUGUUAAUUUGGUGCAGGUUGGUAAGUAUCAUCUUUUGGUUUGUGGAACAACGCCCUGUAUGAUACGUGGAUCUCGUGAGAUCGAAGAAGCCCUGCUAAAACACCUGGGUGUUAAACGCAAUGGUGAGUGUUUUUUACUAUACAAUGCAUAGGACAUGGUAUUCAAACCUUGAACAAAGGUUUCAUAAACCAGUCUGUAUAUAUGAAAUCUGCAGAAGUGACCAAGGAUGGAAUGUUUUCUGUUGGUGAAAUGGAGUGCAUGGUAAGAUUUAUUCUUGUCAGAAUUUUCUGUCCUGCAUUUUUUGGUAUAAGUCAAGCCAUUCACCCAAAAAUGCUGUGAAUGCCUGAUCUCUCUUUGAUACAACACAAUUUUAUGGCAAUCCUGGUCUUCUACAGGGCUGUUGUGUUAAUGCUCCAAUGAUCACUGUGGCUGACUACAGCAAUGGUUCAGAAGGAUAUACAUACAAUUAUUAUGUGAGUACUUAUGAACUCUCUUAUGCAUUUUAAAGUUCUUAUGAACUCUAUAAUCAUAAAGCAAGAGAGAACAUUGAACACUUAAACAUUCCCUUUGUUGCUCCAAAAAUAUAAUUGGUCUUAUUCCUCAAAAAAGAUAAAAGAACUAAAUAAACUAUCUCUAGUGAUACUGGCCACACAUCUAGCAAAAUUAUAUUUGUCUAUAUUCAUGAUUUGUCAUUUUCUUCUGUAUUGAAUGAAGAAAGACUUAUUCUAUGUUAGGGUAAGCCAAUGACAGUUGUAUCUCAGAUUGUUCCUUGAUUGUUUAUCUUCCAGCAAUUAUUCUAUGCCCAGUUCAUCAGGGAAUAUCGUGGAUUGCAUUAUUUUUGGCAUAACCGCAAUGAAAGGGAAUUGGCUAUAUAUCUGAACAUUUGUCUUUUAUCUUGAUCGUCAUUGACUGUAUGAGGGAUCUACAAAAAUGACACUUUGCCUCCCAGCAUAGAAGCUGAAUAUAUUGUGAGAAGAUUUGUGUUUGUAUCCUGUAAUUACAUAGGCAAGAGACUAUUGACAACUUGCAACUGGUGGUACUAGUCGUGAGGCAUCAAAGAAGCUGAUUAGUAUUAGUUGAAGGAAAAUGGUGGUGAAGAAUGGUUGCAGCAUGAGUAUUAGAAGAGGCACUUUUAGCACCGAUCAUAUUGACUCCAGCUGAUUUAGGUACUAAAGAAAUCAUGUUGAGUAUAUGACGUCCAUCUCAUUUGCAUUAUUCUUGUAUCAUUCAUGAAUUCCAAGAUGCCUGAAUUCAGGUCAUAAGCAGUUUAUAGAUGCUACAUGACCCAUGAUUUUUUUCCCUACUAUGGACUUUUUGACGGGUUUAAGAAAUAACAUUAAUUUGAAAUCAUCUGUUAUAUAUCACUUGAUGCUGCAGUUUGAUGGUUUCUACAGACUUUUAUGAUCGAGUAGAAAAUUAUCACGUCAUAUAACUAUUCCUUUUUUUCCCCUUUCCAGGAAGAUGUUACACCCAAACGAGUAGUUGAGAUUGUUGAGAUGUUGAGAAGGGGAGAAAAACCUCCAGUAAGUGGUUUGAAUUGGUGCCUGAUCCUUUGCUUGAUCUGUCCAGAUUCCCAAUGCUGAUUUCUGACUUCUUGCAGGUAGGGACGCAAAAUCCUGAUCGCAUUAGGGGCGGACCAGCUGGAGGGAACACAAGCUUGCUCGGGGAGCCAAAGCCUCCACCAUGCAGGGAUCUCGAUGCCUGCUGAUCAUCGGUUGAGUUGUGCCAUGAAUAUAGAGAAUUGGUGCAACUUGGCCUCAAAAAAUCUUGAGAAGCUUGCCAUUUCACCAGUUUCGACGAUGAGCAAUAGAGACAAUGGUUUUGUUAUCUACUUAUAUUAUCUCUCAAGAUAAAUUGCAACCAUAUGGCGUUCUGUAUUUAAUCUUGGUUUCAAUAGCCAUCAUUGUCAAAAAAGUGGUUGGCUUUGACAAACUGCAGUAUAAACGACACCAAUGAGUAUCUUAGAUGGUGUUGGCCUCCUAAUAAACAAGUGACUCUUGGUAUCAUUUAGUCGUUUCAUCUUCUUCAUCUAUUUUGAUCUGUGAUGAUUUCUGCUAGAAGACCUAACAUUUGCCACAAAUCUAAAAGAGAAUGAUGGAGGUUUAUGGUGUUUUUUCAAGGUUAUUUGGACUCGAUGUCUAGGUAUCUGAACAGGAAUCAUGCCAAUCUUCACCCUGAUACAGGCAUGCAAUUAUUUUUUUUUCAUUACUCGUUCCAUAUAUAAAUGUUACAUAAUCAUUUAUAAUGUGAUUUAUAUCCUUCUUCGGUUGAUAGUACUUACAAUACGUUAACUACUGGGGUGAUUUUUCACAGGUGAUAUGAAAUUAUUAUUACACAUACUAAAAUCUGGUCCUAUCACGGUUUUACUUGGGAUCAGUUCUCAGCCAUCGCCUUCUCCCAAAAGCCGCCUGCUGAUGUGGCAGCAUUCCAUUGGUCAGGAUAGAAUCUCGUAGAUUUUGGACGGGGAGAUGAUGUGGCCUCUAAGACAGUCGCCACCAAUUGAAGCAACAGUAUUCUGCCACGUAUUGGUCGGAUGGUCCAGCGGUGGACCCCGUUGCUCCGAGAGGCUAUCCCUCUCCGGCUAUUGCAGCAGAUCCUGUAGAGUGAUGGGUUUUUGAUCGGCUGCGGACAGAGAUGACUGUGGAUGAUAGGCCGCCGUUCCUGCGUCGAUUCGUUGGACAGAAUCUUGACGUACAUGUGCAUAUCUAUAUGACUCUUCCUGAGUGGAUUUGAGUGAAGUGAUAGGACAUCAACCGACGUGGCCAUCAGACGCUCCCUUAUCCAAAUGCCCAAUAAAAUAUCAGCUCCUGAUCAGGAACAAUGUCUGCCUUGAAAAAGAUCUCCUCGGUGGGCCCUCACCAAAAAAAUCCAUUUUUUAUUGCCUUGACAGAAACCCCCCCGAGUCCUUCCCUGCCACAAUCUUUUUGGCAAGUUGGGUCACUUCGUAUUCCUCCACAUCCCAAGAAACCACAAAACAAAGAGAACUACAUACAUCAAAUAAUUCAGCUACAAGGAAAGAACAAAAGAUGGAGAAUUGAGCCUUGGAACUGUUGCUUGUGCUGUUGUAAUUUGUGCUCACGCCCGUCAAACCAAGGAAUUCUGAUGGCACCACCAGCAUUCCUAUCCAAUGGUGCCACUUGCAAGACAUGGGGUGUUUAUGGGAAACUCCUUCGAUUGUUCUUGGCAUUCGCCUCCUUCCCCAACCUCCCCUAUAAAUUGCCUCCCAAAACCGAACCAACCAAAGCAAAAACCGCCGUCUCCUCUUCCUUCUUCUAUAGUAAAUGAUUGAGAUGCCCAAUUCUGAUGUUGUUUAGCGAGAUUCAGAGGUGUAGAGGAGAGAUGGAGUGGGCGAUGAAGAUCUCCGACGAUGCCUGGGCCUCCUCCCUCGCCGCACCGACACCAGCGGACGGCGACGACCAUCAAGGGCCACGCUUUGCGAUGAAUCAGAGCCCGCUGGCAUGGCAGUUGGAGAACGUUGUUGCCGCCCCUACCAGCCCUAGCCCGACUCCGGAUCACAUCCCUAAGUCUAUUUCCUGUGCUCCUCCCUCUGAUCCUUGCGGUGGAGCGGUGCAGGAUGGUGAGAUGAUGGAGAUCGAGGCCCCUGUUUCCGUCGAUGAUCAGCC